UUUUUUUUUUUUUUUUUUUUUGAAAAAGGAAUCAUCCACGUUACAGUCCCCAACAAGUUAACAAAAGCAACAGCAACAAGAUUUGAAUGAAAACCCAAAAAAGAAAAAAGAAAAAAGAGAAAGUCGAAGACUAUUUUGGAUACAACCAAGUGCAAAAGAAUGCCAAUUGCAGAUCAAAAGUCAAACACUAAUCUUAGCCCAUUCCCCUGCUAUACAAAAUACCUCUGGUUGUCAGGCUUCAUGGCCCAUGUUUCAGAGUCGUCAAACUUUAACUCCAAAAUUCUGUUUAACCAGUUGAUCCAGAAAGGAUACGAGCCCAGUUCUAUUUAACUUUCACACAGUACAUUUAUAGCUGGAGAGAGGGAGAGAGAGGAUAUGACCAAUUCGCUAUGGCCUUUUUUUUUUCUUUACUUUUUUCCCCUGUGUUUGUAAGUAGGGUGCAUCUGAAUUGAGCCGAGCUCGAGCAUUUAUGGUCUCAGAAUGGUAUAUGAAGCUCAGAGCUCAAUCAAGCCAACUCAUAAUAUUUUUGAUGGCAAUGAGAUAAAAAGGACAUCAUAUUCAUGACCCCAAAAAAAAAAAGUCUAUGCACGAGUCCUCCAACUAGUUUUGCCUGGUUCUUGAACUUCUGAAAGAAACAAAAGCGGUUAAUUAGUUCAUGGAAAAUUUGAGAAGGUGUAGGGUCCCAAUGUUUCAAGAGAAACAAAAUAGACAAGGAAGAUGGAGUGAAGGAAUUAUUAAAACAGAAAAAGGAACCAAAAAAUGACAAAAAAAAAAAAAAAAAGGGUAGCCGCCAGGUUUGACAGCAGUCGCAAGCGAUGGAAUAUUGUGGCCCGAAAGUGGGAAAACAUUUUGUCACAAGCCGCACGACUCCACAGGCCAAACGAAUUCCAUAAAGUGAAAGUCCAACCGAAUAUCAGGGCCGUAGUAGAUUUCAGGGCCCGAUUUGCGAUUCUGAUUAAACAGAGUUUGAUUAAGCAGCUAAUUGGACAGGAAAAAACCACGUCAACCUGCAUCAUGGCUGAUUGAUGGCUGCAUUAAUUGGAAAUAAAUUAGAAAGUCAACGUGUUCUUCUUCUUCAGUCUUGCCUCCCCCCAAACUCUCUAAUAAUAAAACCAUUGCUUAAUUAGGACUUAAUCCCCGAAAUCUGAAUGCCAUUAGGCCUCCACUCGUCAUAAUAUAUUUAGUCUAUCAACAUGUUUCUUUUCUAUUGCUCAUAAUAUUGCUUGUGCCAUCAUUUCCUUCUUAGUGUUUGGCAAGUUGCAAGAUCCAGGUGGAAAGGAGCAGCCCUCCCAAGUCUCAACAAUAUUAUUGACCUCUUUUUUUUUUUCUGUACAGCAUAUAUUUGGUUCUUUUCUUUUUUGUUUGAAUUUACGAUUGUCAAAGACAACAGAUUUUCUUGUCUUUCGCCCUGGCAAGAUUUAGUUGAAUACAAGAGACGACUCGUAUCCAGGAUAUCUUUAAUUAAAAAAACUUCAACCCGUAAAUGAUAUUAGCCCUUUUAAAAUUCUUUCCUGGGGCUCAUCAGCCUGAAGUGGAAAUCAUCUGGAUUAGACUUUUUUCUGGGUUGAAAUUUGAAGCUUUGCACAUUGUCACAUCUGGAUUGGAAGUUUCACAAUCUCACGCUAAGCACACUAAUUAUUUCGAAAGAAGGAAUUUUUUGCAUGCACAAGCACAGCACAACGUUAAAUUUUUUUUAUUUUUUUGUCUUCGUAACUUAGGUUAGGUAUCAUUAUUGUCGGCCCUCGAAAGCAAAAGCACGGUGAUUUUGAAGAGAGCCAAUUUUGACCCAGUCAAGCACGUCUACCUUCAAGAAUUAAUUCCGACACGUUUACUUACUUACCCUGGAUGGAUGGAUGAUUCAUGGUCGUAGAUAUCCACAGGGUCAACCCAUCAUCCCAACACAAGUUACUGUUAGCAUUUGGUUUCAAUCAAAUCCAUUGACCCCUCAUUUGACAUGACCUGUCCAAAUCCAAUCAAAAAGAUACAAAACAAAACUUAAUUCUAGAAGGGUUCGCUAGCUAUUCUAAUUGAGUAUCCCUCAAGGAUUAAUGAAGAUGCGCAGCGUGGGUAUAAUGAAACGAUAAAAAUAUACAGCUAGAUUGCAAGUUAACUUUUUUGUUUGUUUGUUUUAGACUUUUAGACAAAUCAUUGGCUUAAUUUACAAUUUAUUUGUCAAAAUCCAACUUGAACUCUUGGUUAGUUGUAAUCCACUUCUUGACCCCAAAGCGUAUAAACUAAAGGAGAUGCGUUAAAAUACUGCGAUUUUUUUAAUGCAAUGAAAGAGAGCGGAAUGAGAAAAAGUGGAGACAGAGACCAUCAAGUCGGAUGAGUAGGCUCCUCCGGCAGCGGCGGAGUCUUCUUCAUGUACGAGACCCUCUUCCUUGGCCCUUUUGUUUUGGUCUCUUAAUUUAAUAAGUAGUCAAAUCCAAAAGGGUCCCUCUGGUCUUUUUCAAUCAGCAGUACGGGAAAUUUGGAAAAGUAAUUGUAACACGAGAACCACGACUUUCACGAUACUUAUCCUCUCUAUCUCUUCUGUCUUUCUUUUGGUUUGCUCAGCUGCUAUUCAUAAUUGAUAGUACUCUGCUAUUGAAAUACAACUCAUCCAGAAUGGGUGGUUAGUGGUUGCAUUAUUAGUUUGUAAAAUCUUAGCUAGGAUAUCAGGACAAAACACAGUAGUGUAUGCAUAUUAAGGUCCCACCUCGUACUUUUUUUUUUUUUUUAAAAAUAUCAUUCCUUAAUUAUACCUUCUAAAUGGUGAAGCAAUUUGCAUUUGCAUUUAGAUUAGUUCAUUUUGGAUUCCAUUUUUCUGGAUUAUUUAUAAAAAAAAAAAAUACUGUACUGAUUUGAUAUAUAUAAAGUAAAAUACAUUUAUAUUAUCGCACCGCCGGCGCGGGCCAAAAAAAAACGUAGGAAUAUGUUUUUAAGAAAUAUCAUUCAAAUAUGCAACAGGAAAAAUAUUUUGAGUCAAAGUUCUUUAUUUUGAGCGCUGUUUACAAAAUCUGUCUCCGAAGUCAAAGAUUUUCUUAGUUUGGUGUCGGUUUUUUUUUUUUUGGUUUUUGGGGUGAAUCACGAGAAGUGGUUGCAAUUUGUGUACGAGAAACUGCUUGGAAAGAACUGCUGAAGUCCUAAAACAGCUGUUACUGUUUUUUUUUUUUUAGUCAAAGCUGUUAUGGAAACAACUGGUGGCGUGAUAAUUUUUGUUAGUUGGUGUGAGAAUGAACUUUCUUCUUUCCCGUCUAUUUAAUAUUUUCGUUGCAAGUUUGACCGCUUAAACAGAAUGAAAAUUGGAAAAUGAAAACGGUUUUCGUUUUGUCCACCGUUUUAGUUGCUUUGAAUUGAAGAAACAAAAUCCAACCUGUUUAGUUACAUAGAAACUUCAGUCUAGAAGGAGAAGACAAGAAGCAAAUGAUCGAAGGCCUUCUCCCUCCGAUGUACCAAAAAAAAAAUAAAUAAAGAAGGUCUUCUCAAUAUUGGUUUAAUUUAUAUUAUUGUUAACAUUUUGGAAACUACCUCCACUUAUUAAUUACUCUUCUUAAUAAAAUUGGUUAAAUGAAAGACUGAAGUCCACUUCUUAAAGCAAAGUUCUGCUGGGUAAUUUAUGGUCCCAAUACCCCCUUCCUCAUCCCUUUGAACUUUCUCAAUCAUUUUCCUUCUUUCUUCUAAUCCAGAUCACUAUCAACUACGAGUAUUUUCCACGUACUAAAUCAUGAUCAAAAAGAUCAAAGGAGACAACUUGUAAGUUUUUAUUUUCCAGAAAAAGAAAUAAAAAAAAAAAAAGAUGAUUGGGUUUCCUUCACAAAAAUUUUUUUAAAAAAGGGGUAUAUUGAACGCUAGGUUUAUUCGUGGGAUGAGCUUUUAUAACAAUUUGAUAAGGUGCAUCCAAUAAAGAGUCACAGAAAUACGCUACGACUAGCAUGUAGCAAUCAUAGGAUGGUGCCACCUCACCUUCCAUGAUAAGCUUUGAUAAAAUUACGAAUUCCCGCGUCAUAGAAAGGAAAAGACAUUACAAAAAAAAAAAAAAAAAAGGAAAAGAAAUAAUCGUCAUAAUUCAGACCUUAAUACGGACGUAAUUCUUAUAAAGAUGACAAUUUUUUUUUAAUCCAAAUAUAAUCUUGGUAAGAGAAAAAUAAAUUGGAUAAUUCCUAUUUUUCUGCCACUAAUCAUAUCAAAUUUUAAACUAUUAUAUCAUCAACAGCAACAACAGCAAAUUGCAUAUUACUAUAGUAGCUCUUCCAAAACAGCUACUAGUAAUUUUUUUUAUUCGAAUCUAUCCUUCGGUCGGUACUGCAAGUCAGAACAUAUAUUGCUUUAUUUGAAAAGAAAUUUUUCACAAAAAAAAAAAAAUUCAGCAUUUUUCGUGAAUAAAUUUAUCAACGGAGCAGAGCCAACUUAGGUUCACAACUACCACUAAUAGAGAGAGUCCAGUAAAGAACGGAAGUACAGAACAGACAUAAAGCAGCAAAGAUGAUUUUUUUUUGUAUGGAGACUCGUGAAAGAAGUGGAUUAUAGCUGGCAAAAACUAAUGACCUGGGACUUGGGGGACCGCGGAGAUGUGUGAAAAUUUCAAAAGUUGCAGUUAGGCCCGUUAAAGUUUUGCACACAUCACUCAGAAACGGACAAUGGACGCUGCAGAUCCCACUUAACAAACUUCCGACGUGGCAAGAUAGAUAUCUUAUGAUUAAGCUGUAACAUGUCGGGCGUUUAGUCAUCAGCCCUUAAUACACGUGUUUCCUCUCGGGUCCCACCAUCACAACUGUCCGUUGGAGCGGAAAUUCGGCGCCAUAUAGUAUUGGAGUGGUACUUUCCAAGCCAUGCUGUUAACUGUUGUACUGUACCCAAUAAUUCAAGAGAGAGACAGGCAGAAUUAUCUCGUGUGUGUGUGUGUGUGAAAUCCUGAUGAAUAAUUACUCCAGUUGGUUACUGAUUCUCAAGCAUGCACGUUUUUUUUUUUUUUUUUUUGUAAACUCUCUCUCUCUCUCUCUCUUUUUUUGUUUUGUUAGUAUUUAUCGCUUUAUUUCUUUUUCUCGCUUUUCUCUUUCACCAACGCAAUGCAUGGCUGGAGGGCUUUAAGGCUCAGGAGGGUGCUUCUGUGAAGAACAGGAACUACGGCAGUUGAAUGUAGUUUGCAAAAACAUUUCAAUAUUAUUGACAGUUGCAAAUCUUGAAUGUAGUUUUGCUGCACUGAAUUAAAAGCAGCUUUGGAAAACAAACGAUGCCCAGAAAAAAGAAAAAAAGGAAUCCCUGAACGUUGAGGUAGCAUUGGAUUUGAAUGUAGAACCAACGGAAUGUAAUCUGGCUUUAAAACAUCACAGUGACUGACCCGGAACCAUGAUGCUGUCUUCACGUAAAGAUGUCUAUUAAAUCCAUUUUUCCAACUGUGAUCCUGUGAAUGUGAUCAGCAGGAACUACAUGUAUCAAUUUUCCAAGGAAGAGAAAUCCAAAAACAAAAAACAAAAAACAAAAAUUCAGUGGCAUCAAUGCUCCCAAAAAAUGAAAGCACUGGCUGGGUCUUUGAUUCUUGAAGGUGAAUUGAAUUUGUCACCUGUGGCUAUGAGGUUUGUUUAUCCGUUACAAAUGAUGGUACUUGGUAGUGCUGCAUCUUAACAGUGAUCUUGUGGUCCUCAUCUGUACGAUGCGGCCAGCUGCAUUGAUCAAAAAGCUUUAAUGAAAACAGAAUUGAUAGUUGCUGGGAUUUCUCUUUUUACUGGUAUGAGAUUCAAUUCAAUGGAUGUGCUUCGAAACAAUCGAAUGAUCCAGGCUAACAUUUUCGGGCUUUUGAGAUCGUACAAGAUCUUUUGAUAUUAUAUUGCUCCUAUAUAUAUAUUAGCUUUCGAAGUUUGACAAUCUUUUAAUUAUCAGCCACAGUCCCUAAUCUUCUUAGUCUACAAGUUGAAUCCAGAAGAGAAUACGUUGGUUUUUGUCACUUCCCUUGAAAAAAAAGAAGCGGAGGAGACGAGGGGAAGCAUCCUCUUCCCCUCGGGCUUUUCCCCACCACGUGGAUCAUUCAUCCAAAUGGUGUAUUAACUAUUCACCAAAAGCCCGGACGAAUGAUUCCCACAAAUUACAAUGCCAUCUUUAUUCGGAAUAUGUUGAUUAAUUAAUGCUGGUACCACAGAUGUUCUUUACUUGUACUUACUUGCCUAAAAAGCAAGAAUGGCAAAGCUAAAAAGCUCCUGUGGGGUUAAGUUCCCACAUCGCUUGGGGGGGUUUGGGGGGUUUAGUAGUUAAGUGCUGCGGAGCACUUCAAAAGUUGCCGGCUUUUGAAGUGUCUUCGCAGAGUCCAUUUAUCGAAACACUCAUACAAAAAACUGUGAGUUAUGAAAGGGCAAAGCUAAAAAGCUACUGCAAUAAAGCCUGACAUCUCCUCCAUUAUCCCAUUCAAGUGAAGCGAAUCAAGACGGUUUUCCAUUUUUCUCUAUUUCUUUUUCCCCCCCGGUCACUCCAAUAUGGCUAUUUAAAACAAUUAAAGCAGUGUAUUAGCGUCAAAAGUUUUAGUUAAUGUUGUCUAAAGUUGCACACCUAACCUCCUGGUCGGAAGAUAUUUUCGGCUGCUUUUCCUUUUUCCUUUGAAAAUUGGAAGGCUUUGAGUAUCUGACUUCCAAGGUCACGAAACCGGUGUAAUUUAACUGCGCCACGCAUUUUCUUUAUACUCCUUCCGUCCCACUAUAAUAGUCCUAAUUAUUUUUUCAUACAGUUUAAAAAAAAAUAGUUAAUUUUAUUGGAACAAUCAAUUUAGGUAACUAUUUUCCUAAAAUGCCCUCACAUUAAUUAGAGUACAACUUUAUGGGAACUUGAAUUGAUAGUAAAAAAAAAAUCAACUCUCAUUAAAUGGGGUAGGUUUAUAGUAACAACAACUUACAUUCUUCAAUUGGAAAGUGGACUACAAUUUGGGACAGACGAAAAAGGAAAACAGGACUAUCAAAGUGGGACGGAGGGAGUAUUUAUAUAAGAUUAACUUUUUAUAUACUGAUAGUAUAGUAUAGUAUUUUUUUAUAUUAAUAAUUUUAGAUAUAUACUAAAUACGCAUAACUUGAAUUUCAAAUUUAAAUUUAUGUUAUAUAACAUGAUCUAAUUUUUUUUUGUAAAAAAUUAUAUACUGAUAGUGUAUAAAAAAUUAUCUUUAUAUAUAUAUAUAUAUAUAUAUAUAUUUUAAAAAUGUAUUAACACUUCCAGUUUUCUUGCUAGAUAAGUUUAGGCACAUUGGUGUAUCGAUUAUUAAUACUCUAAACCUCAGAAGACGCAAAGUACAACCAUUUAUGUUGUCUCCUUAAUGACAACUAUAACAAUAGCUGCUCAAUUACUACUGCACAAAUCUAAAGUUUUUAUUAGAACCUUUACUUUCUUUCUCCACAUAAAUUGUAAAAAUACGGGCCACGAGUUACUACGAAAUUUAAUCCAUAUGGAUUUGUUCACAACUUUUUUUUUUCACUCUAUCAUUACUAGUAGUAUGUGACAGGUAGUUUACUUGGACUCAUUUUUAUACAUUCCAUCCCUGUUGCCAUGUAGCAAUAGAGUAAGACAUUAGUGAUCUGCAGCUAGCGAAUUAUAAUACGAACCACUCAAAAAAAAAAAUAAAAAAAGGAGAGGCUAACUCUGAAACUCUGGUUUAGGACUGAAGUAAAAAUUGGAGCAUAGCCCGAAGGUGCAAAAUUAAGAAAAAAAAAGAAAGGGAGCCGGGGUGGGGGGAGGAGGGGUGAGGUGAAUUUUGGAGUCACGUGAUGGGUUCGGUAAUUGGCAUGGGCUAUCGGGUGUGAACGUGCGGGUACGGCCCAAGGACAGAAUUAGGUGAGGGACGGACGAUGGUGGCACGUGACACCGGCAUGCGUGGCAAAAGACAGAAAAAUUUUUCAGUGGUACGUUUCUCCAGACAGCUGUCACCCCAGCGUAACCAGCAAGAAACGGACUGCAUCAUUUGUCUUCUCUGUUAGCAUUUUAUUUUUACGAAUUGGAUCGGAUCGGAUCGGAUUCUUUUUGCGGUAACUGCGAUUUCCUCAAUCCUCAGGGAGAUAAAUUAGAAACGGUUUAUUGUCUCCGGAAUAUUCCAGAAACUCUGAGCUAACUAAAAAACACGUGGUGUUCGAAAUGCGAAAAGACCACGGGAAAUUACGAAACCAACCCCCUUUUUUUCACGCAUCAGAAACAGAAACCAAACUCGAUUGGAUUGCCAUUUAUCAAAAAAGAAUUGUUACGUUUUCUAUAAAUAUAUUUUUUAAUUAUUUUUUUAUUUUUCAUAUAUCGGAUCAUUAUAAUAAAUUUUUUAUAAAAUAUCCAAAAAAAAAGCAAUCCAAAAAAGGCCAAAAUUUUGCUAUAGCAAAAAAAAAAAACAAUGAGUUAGGAGUAUAUGAGUAUCGUGAAUAGGUUUUCAGAAUUUAAAAACAAUGAAAUUGACAUGAAUAUUGUCACCAUAAUAUUAGUUCAUGAGUGACGCCUUGAAGGAAUGACUUGUGAGCGAUAGGAAUUAAUUUGACGUCCCAACUGCAUUCAUCAAUUUAAUUUUGAUCUACUUUGUGCAAAAGCCUUGUCCAAUCAAGAUUGACGUGCUUAUUGAAGGUCAAUUAUCGAUGAAAGACGCAAACAAUUAAGUUCCUCCAUUAAAGAAUAGCCGUCGAAUUAAGAUACGCGACAAUUUUUCAAAUGAGAUUCCGAUCUGCUAAACUUUUUCUUGGGAAACUAGUCUAUUUUGUAUCGUGUCCAAGAAAAAAAAAGGUAUAAUACAUGAUGAGCCAUGGAAAUACAAAUAAGAUUAAUAACUCUUACAGUUAAUUGAUCCUUGACAAUAUUCCUAUUCAUAACAAGUGUCUUUUACCAUAAUAGCUAAAACAACACAACAGUUUACUAAAGCAGGGAAAUUAUACAUCAACUUAAAAAGCAUAAAUAGAUAGUGUGUCUGAAUAUUAGAUUAUUUGAGAUAUUUUUUUUAAAAAAAGAAUAACGUAACACUUUUUAUAUGUGAUGCAUGUGAGAUAAAAAAAAGUCGAUUGAAAAAUAUACUGAUAAUACGUGUAAGUAAAAUUUUACAAAUAAGCUACAAUCCAAAGCAUGAUAAAUGACACUAACGAACUUUUUCUUUUCCUUUUUUAUGGGUUUUUUUUUAGCUCGCAAUGAUUAAGCAUAACACAAUACUGCAGUUUCUCAAUUCUAUUCUGGUUCAUUUCCUUUCAUCACCAAUUAAUGAGAAGAGGAGCUCCCUUGCAAUAGCUUAAUGAAUCAAUGCAAUAUGGGAACCGAAUCAAGCAAUCCCCGGAAAGUUAAGAAGAUAGACAUUAAUUAUUCCGAGUUUCUUCAAUUAUUUUAGUUUUAUCUUCAGGUCAUUAUUAAUGUUUUAAAGAGAGAGAUAAUUCAACCUAUGUGAUUCUUUAUUAUUGUUCGUAGAAUUAAAUUUCAUGCCAAUAACGACUUGUGCUUUUUAUCGGUGGCGUAACAGACACAACCAUAAUCAAAUACCCAGAACAAUGCCCACAUUGAUGGGAAAGAGAAACAUCAAUAUCAUGCCCCAUGCACAGCGCGUCAUCGCGGAAGGAAAAAACGUUAAAGUCGGUUUUGGCGGUUCAAAAAAUUGAGAAGGGGCCACGUGUGACUGGCACGUGGAGGAGGGUACCCGCAAAGUGAUAGGCAGUUAAGCAUGGGGAGUGGUCAGUUUCUAGUUUUACAGCCUGGCCUCGUCCCCCCAUUUCUGCGUCCGUUUUUGUCCUUUAGCGCCACCUCAUCACCACCCGCCCCCUAGGACCCCACUCCAAUUUAAACCAACUCCCCAACUAAAAAUCCAGAAUUAAAUAAUUUUAAAAAAACACUUUAAUAAUCCCAAAAAAAAAAAGAAAGAAGAAAAGAAAAAGAGAAAAAAAAAUAAAAUCCCUCUAUGCUCUCCAGCCUGGCUCAGUCAAAGUCCAUCCAACCUCCUCAACCGUACGUACACUCAAUUCAAAUCAACUCCCCUCCCCACUUAAAAAAUCACACACACUCACACACUCCAUUAUAUAAUUAACUUCCAAAACGGUCGGUGAUUUGAAAUUAAAUUCCCAUAAUCCAAAAAAACCCGAGAUUUUAGUGAGUGUGAUUCAUAUAGGUGUCCACUCCGCUCUCUCGCCCACCGACGCGUGUCCCUCGCCAGCUGUAUCCUACGCCUUAACUGCCUUUUACCGGUUAUCCCAACCGGCUCCAACCAGUCAUCCCUAUCCUAACUCUCUCAUAUUUAUACCCCCCAAUUUGCCCUCUUCACUCUGCUUUUUUAUAUUAGCAGUAAGGCGAGGCUCCGCCUCCCCCAUCUAAUUGUACAGUGGCACUCACCCGUAAAUUUCUCUAGGCUCUUAGGUGGUUAAUAAUUAGGUUAACAAAGCAAACAGCCAUGGGGACGAUCGCGCACAGAAAAGAAUCGGAUCGGAUCAAGGGUCCGUGGAGCCCCGAAGAAGAUGAGCUGUUACAGAGGCUUGUUGAGAAGCAUGGCCCCAGGAAUUGGUCCUUGAUUAGCAAGUCGAUUCCGGGUCGAUCCGGGAAAUCCUGCAGGCUCCGCUGGUGUAACCAACUUUCGCCGCAGGUGGAGCAUCGGGCUUUUACGGCCGACGAGGACGAGAAGAUCAUUCGGGCUCAUGCCAAGUUUGGGAACAAAUGGGCCACCAUAGCCCGUUUGCUCUCAGGUCGAACCGAUAACGCCAUCAAGAACCACUGGAAUUCCACCCUCAAGAGAAGGUGCUCUUCCAUGUCCGACGAUUUCAACUUCGAAGUCCCUCAGCAGCCUCUCAAGAGAUCCGCCAGCGUCGGUCCCGGUACGAAUGUUUCCGCCAUAUAUGUCAACCCGAGCAGCCCUUCUGGAUCCGACUUGAGUGACUCGAGCCUUUCGGGUUUCGGAUCCGGUCAUGUUUUCCGACCCCUUGCUCUCACCGGCGGGAUCUCCCCUCCGGUUCAACAGAUCGAGACGCUUUCGUCGGCAGCACCAGACCCGCCAACAUCCCUAACCCUAUCCCUACCCGGCUCCAGCUCCGCAAAAAGUCCGACCCAGAACUCCAAGUCGGUUGAUGAUCCAACCCCUUCACUCGGGGCGGCGGGUCAAACCGUACAGCAGCCAACUCAGGUCAUGGUAAGACCUCCUCCCCCGCCACCUCCUCCGUCCCCGCCGCCACCGUUGGCACCAGCGCCACCGACCCCAAUGGCGCCGCCGCAAGCAGCACCAGUGGCACCACCGCAGUCGCAGGGAGGAUUCGUGUACCCGGUUCCCGCCCCAGCCCCCAUGCCGGGUCAAGUAGCAGAGAGGCAGUUCUUUAGCCCAGAAUUCUUGGGGGUAUUGCAGGAAAUGAUAAGGAAAGAAGUGAGGAGUUACAUGUCAGGGAUAGAGCAGAAUGGGAUGUGUAUGCAGACUGAAGCAAUCAGGAAUGCUGUGGUCAAGCGUAUUGGAAUUAGCAAAAUUGAUUAAAUAAUUUAUGCAAAGAAAUUAAAUCCGGACCAAAUUAAUGAAUGCUGAUUGAGUGGUGGGGGACUGCGAAUUGGCCACGAAAAAUCUCUUUCAUGUCCAUGUCCGCGGACAUGAAUUUUGGUAUCAAUUGAUUGGUGGGGUGAAGGGAGAAGUGGGCAAUAGAAGGGAAGUAGUAAUUUUGUUUUUCUUGUUGGGCUCUUAAAUUUGGGGGGGCGAUUAGCAUUUCCGUUUGGGUUCUUCUAUACAAAAAUAAUCUUUAGAUGGGUUAUUGUACAGACUAAGAGAGGAUGAGGGGAGCGAGUUAAAUAUUUCCUGGUGAACAGAAGUUGCUGGAAGAAAGCAAUCCCAAAAAAAAAAUAAAAAUGAAGAAAACAAUAAUCAGUUCCGAGUAUCUAUUUUUUCUUAGGUGCCUAUUUCACUGCUUAGAUUAAUAUGACUUUGCCUUUGGAUAAAUUACAAUUUGGUUGAAGACGGACGAAUGCAGUUUCCUUGUUCUCGGGUCUUUAACUCUUGUUUUCCAACCUAAAUUUGAAUUUUGGAUGGUAACUGGCGAGAGAUUCUGAGAGAUGGUAAACAAGUCGGUUACAACUUCCUAAAGCCGUUGAAGGAGUAAAUAAAUGAUGGCUUGUGGCAGGUGAUUAAGUUGAAUCGCGAGCGCAGUCAGUUGAAUCUCUCUCUUGGAUUUCUGCGAAAGGAAAAGUGAUAUUGGCACUAUAACGUUAAAUGUGGACAAUAAUAUUCUAGUAAUUUGGCCGUUGGAUAUGUAGAGUGCACAAGUAAAAGCCUAUCGCCAACCGGACUUCACAUGAUCGAGUCGAAAUUCUCUCUGAUUGCUAGGACUAUGUAUACGAAUCGUUACCGUGUAAUUUUUCACUUAAAUCUUCAUCCUAAAUUGGCUCUUAUUAUGUAUGACACACAAAAUCCAAGUUAGUUUUAAGUUGUAAUCAAGUUUCGUUUUGUACAUUGACUAAAUUAUCAGGAAAAUCAUGGAGAUGAAGCGCAUGCUAAUUUUUUGGACUUAAACUUGACAAUGGUGAUUAGAAGAGUAGACAAGCAUUAAAUAUUUUUUUUGGGGGGUACGCAUGUUGGGCCAAACCCAAUUCUGAAAGCACGACACCCGUUUCUGGGGCCUGUCAUGCUGGCUUGGUUUUAUCUAUAUAACCUAUCUCUAAACCGGAUUGAGUUGAACAAAAGCAGGCAUUAUUUUAUCUGCAUCGUCUAGUUAUACAAGAAAAAAAAGAGGAAAUGGAGGGCUACAUUAUGGGACCAGGAGUGGUGCAUGACGAUGACAAAUUGCAUGGGAGGAGUUGUUAUGUUGACUGUGAUCCUCUUUCGUCUUGAUUAAUAUGUGUGUAUAUAUAUACAUAUUAAUCAAGACGAUAUAUAGGGAUAAUUGCAAAAAACCUCCUCUGAGAUUUUCGACAGUUGCACUCACCUCCUCUAAGGUUUGAAAAAUAACACCAACUUGCCUUAGUAUGAAUUUGGGGCUUAUAGUUGACAUAAGAUAGGAUGAAUUUACUUCUAUACCCUAAGAGUUUAAGGUUAUUAGUAAACGAAUUUGAGUAAAAAAACUUAGGGCAAUAAACAAGUCUAAAAUAAUUAAUUAAAUAAGAUUAAUGAUUAUUUUUCGCUUCAUUAGGCACUGUAAGUGCACUUACAAAAUGACGCUAAUUGAUGCUCCAAUAUGGUGUCAUUUUGUGAUUGACAACACUUGAAAUAACAAUAAAAAAUCAUAUAUUUUCUACAUAGAAGAGAAGCAUAAACAAGAAAAAUGUAGGAUAAAUAAACCUCCAAACAAAGUUUCAUAAAAGAAUAAAUUUUAGUGGUUUUGGUUGAACUUAUUUCAUCUUAUGCAUUCGUAAAACAAAAGGAGAAAAAAAGCAGAAAUCAAGGCAAAAUCUAAAGAUUUUUCUAUUAAAAAUAUGUGGCAAUCAGAAGAUGAUAGAUAAGCAAUCCUUAUCAUCUGAACUUAAUACACAAAAUUGUGGUGUUAGUUAUAGUAUGAUGAAAUUGUUGUGUCGAUCAUAAGAGAGUAUAACUGUGUACAAAAUAUGGUAAAUAGUGUUAGAUCGAUAUACUAUAAAGUAUGACAAUAAGAAACUCUUUUGUAUUGAUCAAAGGUAAAUUUUUUUACUUGAUCAAUAGUCUUUUUAUAUAUUUUAGAAUCUUAGAUUUUUGAACAUAUAUUUGUUGCUUCUUGUAGAUUUUAUUGCUGCGCUUAUUCUCUUUGCACAUAUAUCCUCUAAGUUUCACUAAUGUUUCUAUCUCUUAAUGUUUUUCAUUCUUUUACUAAUACAACCUCACAAGAAACAAAAAGGAUACAAAUGAAACAAAAUUAUUAUCUCACAUCCCAAAAGACUUUUUUAAUGGCACUUUCUCUAACAUGGGUUGAAGUUGCUAUCAAAAUUUUAAAUUCAAGGGAGGUUAGUGUUAUUUUUCAAAUAUUAGGGGAGGUGAGUGCAACUGUUAGAAAUCUCAGGAGAGAUUUCUGCAAUUAUCCCAUAUGUAUGCGGGAUAAUUUUACCUAAUAUAUAUGUAUUACCUAUUUAUUCCAUAUAUAUAUAUGCAGUAGAUUGUUCUAAUGCUACCAAGUUGAGUUGACAACAUUACUGUACAUUUUACCUAAAUAAAUCAAUUGGGCAUUUUUACAACUUAGUAUGCAUUUCAUUUCAGGAGGGCUUAAAUGUUUUGUCUUAUUUUCACAUUGGAGGAACUCUUGAACCUACGUUAUUGUAUGUUACUUGCUAUACCCUUCUGAACGAUAACGAUUGAACAGUUUGGCCGUACUAUCUAACCAUUUUGCUAAGGCAUCAUACUUCAUAAAUACGUUCACUUAUGAUCAUGCAUACCUAGUUGACUUGGAUUACUAGCGUUAGGAUGCAUUUGAUAAAAUUGAAAUAUGAAAUUUGAAUCCAUUAAAUUAUUGGAUUGUUAAAAAUUAAAUCUAAUAUAUUUGGAUGUAUAUCACAUUCAAUGAUAAGUGAAUAGCUUAUCACUUAUUUUUUGGAACAAGUUUUAUUUAGAAAAUUCAGUACCACUUAAUUUAUUCAAAUGUUCAAUUUUUUAUUAUCAAAUUCAUUUGAACAUGUUAAGAUCUGAAUCCAUUAAAUUUUAAGUGUUCAAUUAAAUUAUCAGACAAGGCCUUGGUUUCAUAACCAUAUGGCAAUGAUUGCUUUAAUUGAUAUAAAGAGGGUUGUAUUCCUCGCAAAUGCUUGGGUUUAGAUCUGAACUGCACGAGUAUUUAUCUUCUGGCGUCAUUUGACUAGUGGAGAUUGUCUCAAUUUGCAUUGAAGAGAAUGUCUCUCGCCAUUUCUUGCCUUUGACUUCGCCCCAUGGGUGGCAGUCACUUCACUUGAUUGAUAUUGUUGAUUUUAUGCUUCAAAAAUAUUAAUUCAUGCUUGGUUGAAAAGAGUACAAUUUGAUACCAAGAAAAAUAUUUUUUGGUCUAAUUUGAAGCGAAUAUUAUAAGAUAGAAUGAGCAAUCUAACAGUCCACUUGCGCAACUAGGUAGAAGAAGAAUGGAAAGCAAGGAAGGGAAAAAGGGGAAAAAAAAAGCUCAUUUGCUUUUAGGACUAACACUACAUUGCAUUUUCGAACUUCUACAAGCAGAGAAAGAAGUCCGGUACUUGUAGAGGUGGCAAAAAGUCUCAAGACCCAGUUGGCUCCCAUGCUCAAAUUUAUUUUGGACAGAAUGGGUAUGUAAAUGGACAUAAUUGAAAAUAUAUCUAAUAAUAUCCAUUUAAAAUUGGGAUCUAAUUGGGACUUAGUUUGAACUUCCAUGGGUCUUUCUUUUCUCCCAAAACCUAAAAAUAUUGAUUUUUCUAAAAGCCAAAACCACCCACCAAUUUUGAGACAUUUGAUUAGCAAAAUUUGUUAUGUCCAAAUUGAACUUCAAAAAGUAGGUUCACUUUCAAAUUUUAUGAAAUUUAGUGCUCGAAAACUGAAUUUUUUUUUUUUAAAAAAGGAUCAAUUGACAUAGGUUUUACUAGAUGAUUUUUCCACAAUGCAAAGAAUUAGCACUGAUCAAUUUCAUCAUGACAUGAAUUGUACAAAUAUGUAUAAGAUCGUCUAUUGGAGUAAACAUGGGCAACAUUUAGUCGUAUGAAGUAGAAAUUUGGGCAAGUACAAAACUGAAUCAUCAAAUAUUUUAGGAGAAUGCAUGACUUUGAUGGGGGAAAUUUUACAAAAUAAACAAAGUAAACCCUUGUUUGAUAACUCAAUUCAGCAUUUAAAUUUAAUGGUUCAGAUCUUAAUAUGUUCAGACGCGUUUGAUAACAAAAAAUAGAACAUCUGAAUUAAUUAAGUGGCACUGAAUUUUCUAGAUAAAACUAACUCUAAAAAUAAGUGAUAAGUUAUUCACUUAUCAUUUAUUGUGAUAUACACUCAAAUGUAGCAUAUUUAGUACUUAAUAAUUCAAUAACUUAAUGAAUUUAGAUGUUAGAUUUCAUAUUUCAGUUUUAAACUUCAAUUUCAUUAGAUGUACCCUAACUAAAUGAUAUUAAAAAAAAGGUAACAUUGAGACAUUUGAUUAGGGAAAAUGGAGUUAAAAAAAUAAAAUGAGAUUAUUGGGUAUUUGGGUGAGACCAUUUUAAUCCCCUCAUAUUGUCCCAUGACUAAUAUGGGACUGUUUGGGUAUAACCCAUAUUUUGGAGUCCCAAUUAAAUGUUGCCCAAAUCCCAUCCAUCCUGCUCAUUUGCUAUCUCUAACUACUUCAAACAAAAAUCAUAAAAGCUUAAUUAAGCACACAACAGAACCAAGUUGGAGAGAAACAUAAACAUAGCCUUUGCACUUAGUAUAAAUGAAGAUUAUCCAAGAAACUAAAAAAAGGAAGAUGGAAAAACAUGAGUACAAACAUAAAAAUAAAGCAAAAAUAGGAACAAAUGUCCAUUACAUGUUAGAAAAUAAUCAAAGGAAAAGCCUAAUAUCUUAUAAUCAAUAGAGAUGACAAAAUAAUAAGGGAAAACCCGGUGUUCCUAAUUUUCAGCAAGAAAAGUGUAAAAAAUAGAAGGGAAAAGGAAAAAAAAAACUAAGGAAGAAAUGGUCAGUACAGCGGCGAACCAAUGCCACUCUCGUUUGUUUGUUAAGCUAGAACACCAAUCAAGCUUAUUAAAGACGUCAAAUCCAUCAUUAAUCUCAAGGUUAAUCUAUGGCAAUAAAACAAAAAGGUACAAUUGGGAAGAAGGAAAGCAAUUAUGGGCAGAAAAAUGAAAGAUAGUUUUCUAAAUUAGCAGUGAGUUAGUUUUCUAAAUUGGCAGUGAGUUCCAAUCAAGUCAUUUCAUAAUUAGCAGAGAACGGUAAUUAGGGUUUAAUUAAAAUUUAUCUAUGGGUGAUAAUGUGGUAAUCUAAUAUUAGUCUAUUAAGCCAAAUCUACCGGUCAUAGCUUAGACAGCACAUCCACCAUACCAGAUAAUCAAACAGUAAGUUAAGAUUAAUCAAUUGGGCCUAAAUAAAGUACUUGAGGCCCACAUUGACCAAUCAAUAAUGUCUUAAUAUGAUCAAUAAAAUUAAUUCAUUUGGGCUGGAGUCUUUUAAGCUCAUCUAGCCCUAGGCCGACAAAACCUAUCAAGGACAUCAACAAACGUGACAAUAGAAAAAGGCAAGACACUAAUUCUUCGGGUCUGUUUGGUUAUUAGAUGACACAGGAUUAGAUUAUCUCGUAUCAUUCUAUGUUUAGUUGUAUUUUACAUAUGAAAUGACAAAUUUUAACUAACUGAAUUAAUUUCCUACACAUGGGAUAAAAUAAUCCCAUGUGAGAUGUAGUAUUAGUUAUUACGCGAUGACUAAGAGAUAGAAUGAUGAAAUUUUAAAUUAAUUUAACCUUACAAAUAAUAUAAAUUUGUACUCUCAUAAUUAUAUAAUCUUACCCUCACACAAUAAUAUAACAUGAAUGGACUAAUUUGCUUCUACUAAUUACUUUAAAAUUUUUUGACUAAUUUACCUCUACUACUAACAAAACAAUAUUUGGACUAAUUUGCUCUUAUGGAUGAUACAAAUUCAUUCUGAAUAUUAUAUAACCAUUUUCUCACAUAAUAAUAUGAUAAUAAAUUGACUAAUUUGCCCCUAUUAAUUAUAUUAAAAUUUUUUAACUAUUUUGCCCAUGUUUAUUAUUUUAAAUUUUUAACAAAUUUAUCUCCAUUAAUUAAUUUAAAAUUUUUGACUAAUUUGCCCCUACUUGUAUCAUAAUAAAAGGAUUAUAUUGCCCUUGAACUAAAUUGCCUUUACUCACCUUAUUUUCUCAACCAAAUUCUAUAAAAUACAUAAUGUUAUUAAUUGAAUUUUGCAAAUGAGGAUUUUAAUAAGGUCAAAUUUAGCCAAAAAAAAUCUUCUAUAUUGGCUUGAACUUGGGUCAUUUAAAACUCUUCAAUGGGUUGGAUUUUAUUUAAUUAAACCUUAACUUAGCCAAAAUUUGACCCAAUAUUUAAUUAAAUUUCAAAUUUAGAUUAAAAAACUGUGUUAAAACCUAUUUUUAAGUGCCUGAACGAGUUGAAUUUGAGUGAAUGCCAAUUUUUAUAUAUCAAAAUCUUUGAUUUACUUUAUAAUUCUAAAGUUUCAAAUUACUUUAUUUUAAUAAAAGUUAUAAAUUGUUAAAUUAUUUUAUUUAGAUGAUUCUACAAAUUAAAGGGCAUUUUGAUCAUUAACAUAGUAAUCCUAUUUAUCAAAUCUCUAACCAAACAUGAGAUAGAAUUAUUUUUCAAUGGCAAAAAACUUGUGUAAAUCUGGUCUACGAGUGAGCCCGUAGACCCUGUAGACCGAGUGGUCUAAAACUCACUACAUUGAGUUUGGUGAUCUUUAACUCCAAAAAAAGAAAAGGAAAGAAAAACCAAAAAAAGCCACAAAUGAAAAACACCGAAGGUGGUGGAAAAGUGAUAGAAAAUGAAAUGAAAUUGCUCAAUUGAACCCCGCAUAUUUUUGGGUUUAGUAAUUUGGGUCUUAUUUUUGGGAAUAUCAAUUUAGGCGAGACUUGUAACUAGAGGUAUCAAAAUGAGUGAUUUGGGUUGAGUAAAAUGGGUAAUGAGUAUAAAUGAAUCAACCCAUUUAAUUAGAGGAGUAUCAAUGGAUAAGUCAAAAAGUGAGUUUGAUAACCCAAUUACCCAUUUACAACCCAUUUAUUCUAAUUUUUUACAAACUCAUCUAAAUUCAUUUUAUAAAUUAAAUUAUCAAUUUAUACCACUUUGCAUCCAUCAUUAAUUUUAAUUAUUUAUUUAUUAUGUCAAAUAAGUCUAAUUACCAAUUUUUUUCCAUCCGUGUGAUAUGUCGCAAAAUUACAUACUAUUUAAUAAUUGAACAAUAAGAAUCUAAAAAUUUGGACUAAAUAAUAUGAAAGUAAACAUAAAAACUUAAUUCAAAACUUUGAACCCCUAGUAUUUUUUUCGUGCACAAUUUUAAAAUUUCAUUUUGAAAAGGUAAGAAAGGAGGUUAAAUCUUGUCAUAAAUUGGUAAUACUUAAAAAUGACCAAACUAACAAAUUACAAAGAAAUAAAAUGAAAAGAUAAAAUCAACAAAUAAUAAUAAUAAAUAAAAUAAAAGUAGUUAACAUCACGAAGCAUAGUAGCCCUUGUACAUUGAUUUCUCAUCCAUCUUUCGCUAGCAUAAAGGGCACAAACAUUUGACAGCUAUAACAAGAUGGUUCGCUUAAAACAAGGAUAGCAAAAUUACAAUUUGCAUCCUGAUGAACAAGACUAUUGGCUCAAUUGAGAACUGCAAGCCAUCCUGAUGGGACUAGCAAUUACUUCAUUUAGUAUACAAACAAAGAUAAAUCUUCAAUAGAUUGGAAUAACUGAUAGAAUAGUGAAAGGUUACAUGGCCAAAACUUCUUGCCAACCUUUAGCACCAGAAUAAACAACAGCUACCUGAAUUCCCACAAAUUGGUAGACAAAAUACAUACACUUAGAAUCCAUGAAACUUUUACAUGUUAAUACUUCACUUUCUGAAGCUAACCAUUUUUCAGAAACUCAAGGAAGUUAAGAUGUGGGAUGCAUGACCCUUAACCUAUGGUCUACAUUAUUAAGGUCAACGAAUGGACGAUAUGGGACUACUCCGACUAUCAGAGAAAGGGUCUUGAGAGUUCGACCCCAUUUUAAUUCGAAUUGAUUCUUCAUCAGUAUCCUGUACUAGCAAAGUACCAUGAAAUCACAAAUUCCAUCACAUAAUUCUUUUUUUUCACCCCUUUAGAAUCUAUCAUCUGAUGCAAGAAGACACAAGAGACUUCCAGCUAAAAGUUCUUCCAUGCAACAGUGACAAACUUUCUUGCCAAAAUCAAGAAAAAAACUUUUUUAAAGUUCCUACCAGAGCACUUUCAUAGGCCUAAUCAUUUUUGAACCAUAUGAUCGAUUUCUUGAAUAUCUAAUGCAUCCUUGAUGAAACAUUAGAAGAGCAAGCUUGUCAGGGGCUGUAAUAAAAAGACAGGCAGCAGAAGCAGAAUAAGUAAAAGAAAAUGAUUGUCUAGUUUCCAUCCUCACUCUAUAAGUAAGAAGCCAAAGCAGCAGGGUCUAUGGCAGUGAUGACAUUAUUGGAAACCUAUUUUACUCGGUCAUGCAAAUUGUAAUUUUACUAGGAACGCAACAUCAAGUUUGAGAUAAAAAUUAACCACUUUAACACAACAUUCUAAAAGGUGAUUAAAGGCAAUAGAAACCUAACUGCUUAAAAUCUAAGCACUAGCCAACUUCAUCAAAUCACUGCAAAGUACAUAAUACCGAGCAUAAAGUUGUCCUAAUGCAUCAAAAUACUUAAGAAGCACUCAGCUUCUCAAACUUCGUACAACUACAAUUUCUCGCUAACGUUUUCAUUGCAUAACAGAGCUCCUCCAGAUUGCAUAGCAUGACACUUCUCCAGCUCUUUGUCAAGUUGAUCAGCUGAAGACAACAUCCAAGCAACCAUGCAAGACAAAUAACAUGAACCGAGUAUAUCCACAAGCACUUACCCUGUACUAGGGGUGGCAAUUUCCGCCACGACUUGAAAACACGACAUGAACCUAACACGAAAUUAAUGGGUUUGGUUUGAGAUUUUGCAGGUUCGGGUCAGAAUCGGGUCAAACUAGAUGAACCCGAAAAGAAAAUGGGUCGAAUUCGAGUCAACCACGAUAGCCCGUUUACAAAUUAAAAAUAAUUUAAUAAACAUAAAAAUUAUUUUAUCUAACUAAACUAAGUUAUUCUUUUUUUCCAAAGGCAUUAAUCACUUAAUCCUAAAUGAAUUUAUUUAACUUGUGUGAAGUUGAAAUUAUUAUAUUUGGACAAAUAAUGUAUUAUAUUAUUUUUUACUUUUAUACUGUUUUAAUUUAUUUUAUAUUUGGUUUGGGAUAAAACACUUUUACGGUGUUUUAAUUUAUUUUAGAUUUGGUUUGGGAUUAUUUAUUUAAAAAUUUAUUACUUGAUUAUGUAAUUAGUCUUGUGUGAAAUUGGUUUUAUUACAAAUUACAAUGGUAAAUUAAUAAAUUAAAAUUAAAUUUCGGGUCUACCCGCCAACCCGAAAUUUUCGGAUUCGGGUAAGGUAUCCUGACCCAUUUCGGGUUGGCGGGGUCAGGUUCGGAUCAGCGGAUUUGGACCCGAUUGCCACCCCUACCCUGCACCAUAACUUAUUGUCUAUGAGUAACAGAAGUGGGGUCUCUGGUGACAUGUAUUUUCCAACAAAAUUGGUAGCAAUAGAAGCAAAAUCACAUCAUGAAUUCGAUAUGGAUACAUAGCCAGAUUGGAACUCCUAACAGAAAAAAUCGACAAAAAACAGUAAAAGAUGAAGAAAAAAAGGAUCCUAAAAAAUAAAAAAGGAAGAGCUGACUUGGGCCAGUUGUUUAAGACAAAUCAUUGUCAAACAAACGCAUAAUCUUGGCCAAAAUUAUCAACACUAGAGUAAGAAGACCAGAAAAUUAUGAAAUAUAUAGCUUACCUAAAUAUGAAGGUUAGUAAAUUUAGCAACUAAAGAUGCAAACUACCAUUUGCAUUGUGCUCUUUGUGAACCAUCCGGUUCAAUGUACAAUAUAUCAAAUUCCUUCUAUAUCAAUGAUGUGAGCUGUCUCGAGCGCUUGGAAGAACCUUGGGUCAACUCAUCUGUAUUGGUAGGCUCAUGGCUUGUAUAAGAACAUUGUUCCUGAAUGUGCUCUGACAAAAUUUCAUCUAUCUAAGAUAAAAUUCAAAGAACAAACUAGAAAAUUACUGCUGAAAAAGUUGCUACUUUUUAUUUUGAGUUUGCAACUAUUAAUCAUUUCAUGUUUCUCUAUUUUUGUCUCCGUAAGAUUUUGUAGGUCAGCGUAUUCUUGUUUUAAUGGAACUUAAUACAUCAACAGAACAUCAUAUUGUGCACAUAAUAUUGAACUAAAACAAUGACAGGCUGGAGAAGUUGGGACUCUCAGAAGUUUUGACUGUCCUGGAUGUGUGCUGAAAUGCACAUUAAACUAUAUUCUAUAUGUAGCAUGUUUCUUUAUAAGAAACUCUUUGCAUUUGUCUCUAUUGAUGCCUAUGUUACCCUUUAGCUUUGAUUAGGUAACACAGAAGGUAAUUCAAGUAGAAAAUGAUAAAAAAGAGAAUAUACAGAAUGCUGGUAAAGUUGCAAUAGAAGAGGCAGAAGUUUCGUCAUCUCAUGGGAAGGUGUACUGCAUCACUCAUGUCAAUUUUUACUAGGUGGAAUAUUAAGCAGCUGCUAAUACAAUCAAUUUAUACUCACUCAUGCAAUGAACAGGUGAAAGUGACUCUCAUCUUGGAGCUUGUGGUCAUAAAAUCAACAACAAAUCGAGAAAUUUAGUGUUGGAUAGAUCAAAGUACUGUAGUACAAAACAUGAAAAUCUUGCAAGUAGAUUUUUGCUCUACAGAACUUUAGUCGCAGAAGUGCAGCAAUAGAGUAAUACAACCCAUUUUUUUACCUUGUAUUUUAGUAGUAGUAGAAGUACUGUGUUAGUGCUUGGUACUUUUUGCUCUAUUAAUUAUUUCUUCACAAGGCGCCAGUGUUCCUACUACUAUAACUCUUUAGGCUGUUACAUUGUGGACAAAAAUGGAAUAGGAAUACUUGCUUAGACCAGAUUCAUCUUAUUAUGACCACUGUGACUUUUUAAGUUCUAUGGAGCAAAUCAUUCACAUCAGAGGUUAUACCUACUUGGUGAAAAGGUAUACAUGUUGAUCACAAUACUCGAUCAAGCAUAUUGAACAAGAGCUAUAGUUACCAGAACCAUAUAGAGUUAAGGAUUUUCUUGGUUUUCAACAAUAAUUAGUAUACUAGUAAUUCGUAUGUCCUUCAGAAUGCUCAGGAGCUGCAAACACCUUUGCAUUGAUCCCAAAUUCAGCACCCUUAACUCUCUCAACACCCUUAACAAAUACAACAAGAAAUAUGUUACCGAUCCCUGAUUUACCUCUAAAAGAUUUUUCUUCUAAGAUAUCCUGUUUCACACUGUUGCCUUACAUGCAUUGUUGAUUCAACAUGUGUAAAUGAAAAAAUGACCCGUAACAGAAGAUUCCUUUCAGCCCGAAAACACAUAUUUACUCAAAGUUUGAGUAAACAAAAUUCACAGGUACGAAAGGUAGCAACAACACCUAACCAUCUUACAUAAAUGAGCUAAAUCAGCUCAUUCUAAUACUAACUGUGUUUGGAUACACGACUGCCUCAAAUUCAGAAAUAUUUAAUAAGAAAGAUUAGCAAGGCUAUAUAUAUAUAUAUAUAUAUAUAUAUAUAUGAUGUGAUUAGGACAACAACCUCAUCAAAUUGAAAUGCCAAUUAGUAUCGACGCUAAAUGGUUGUUCUAAGAGAUCUUUACAGCUAAAUUUCAGAAAAGCAUUUACUCAACUGAGUAUUCAAAUUCAAAAUACUAAACUGGCUGGAUGGAAGUCAAGUACAGCAAAAUGCUAUACAGUUGUUGCUGUAAGAAUGCUACUAAAUUUAAAACUAAACCCAUGCCUUCAGACCAGUUGGGAUCUUAAAAAGUAAUGCCCAAGAGUAGCUUUAACAUUAGCAGUAACAUGCAAGUAAAUAUCUUAUUGUAUCUUCUUACAAUUAAAAGAGAAAAGGGAAAAUUCAUGUAUCAACAGAUUCAUCGCAUCGGCCAUUAUUAUUCCCACCUAUAGGGAAUUGUGUUAAAUUAGAGAUUAAAUUCUAGAAAGUGGUACAUUAUGGAGAACUAUUUUCCUCAAUAGCAGUCAAUUUUUGCCUUGUAAACCACUUAGAUUUUUAAAAUCCUAUUACCUGGGUAGAUGUUAGACCUAAAUCAAUGCCUUACAAUUUCCCUUGCUCCUCCAGAUACUCCUCUGGAUUCUUUAAGUCCCAACCGAAAGGCAAAAGGUCACAUAUCUAUACUUUUUGUGCCAUAUAAAUGAGUUUGUUUGCCACCUAUAUUUGUUUCUAAUGGAAAAAACAUGAGAUCAAUGUUCAAUACUUAUAAGCCACAAACGACCUUAAGCAAUCAUGCCAAAAGUUGAGAUGUUUUUGAACUAACUUCCCUCAGAAGAUAAGAAAGAAAAUGGUAGAACAAGCACCAAGCACUACAUAGACUACUAUUUAGAAGAAUUUAUUUUGUGCUUUGAACAUAGUUUUAGCAACAGCAAAACGACUCAAUCUUAACAAUUUUCACAAAGAGAUGAACCAUGUAUAGGUAGAAUCAAUUAUCUUUAGAAAUGAGAAAGAAAUUUGGCAAAAAUAUACUAGUCUAAAAACUUGUAAAAAUUAGAAAAACAAACCAAUCUUCUUUCUUACUCAUCGACCAAGUAUGCAAGAAUUGCUCUGUAAUGAGUCAAAUGAGUAAUUGCAAUGUAAACUCAAUCUCAAUAACAAAAAAUAACCAACCAAUCCCCCUUUCCUCCAACCCAAUUCGAACACUAACAAUCAACAGUAGCUAGUAUAUUUGGAAGCAUAAUACAACUUCUCACAAGUAUAAAACGAAAGGAACUUCAUAAUUAUAUUAGCCUGGACAGCAUAUUUUGUUCUAUUUGCCAACCUGUUUAACGUCUCUUUUGGCUUGCAAAGUUACUUGCAGCAUCACGGAUGACAUUCUCUGGAAAAAUCUUCAAGACACCACGGGUUUUUUCAUAGAUCAGCUCAGGAAUUUGCGCUUUCGAGGUGGAUUUGAUGCUAUUGAAAUCGGGCGAGGAAGGGGCAAAGGCCUUCUAUUAAAGAGAGACGGAGAGAAGGUGGAGGGGAAACAAGUAGCGGAGGAAGAGAAGGGGAGGAGCAGUGGACUUGCUGGUGGGAAGGAGAAGGUGAUAGUGGAGACAACAACAAUUGAUGGUGGAAAUACAAGUUUAGGAAUAUAAGUUAAAUGUGUUGAUUGGAUUUGAUGAAUUAUCUAAUUAUAUCCAAUUAGGUAACUAAUUAGUGAAUUAGUUAAUUGAUGAACUACCUAAUCAAAUUACCUAAUUUGAUGAAUUACCUAAUUAUAUCCAAGGAUAACUCAUUUAUAUUCAUAUGUAAAAAUUUAAUAUAUUCAUAUCCAGUUAUUAAUGACAAGUAUGAAUAAAAUUAAUUAAAUGAAUUUGUUUGCCAUCUAUACCUGUAACUGUGAUGUAUUGUGUCUUAGAAAUGUUGGCAUAUCUACGCAGGCACUUAUUAUGUCAUGGUACGAGGGAAAUGAUAAGUGUGAUUGGCAUCCAAAUGACAUGGAAAUUGUGGUACCAUGCCUAUUUGAAGAGGUAACAAACUCGUAUGCAUUGGAGACAAAAUGAUCCAAGAUUGAAUGCUGAAUUGUAAUGAAGUGUUUGCUAAGGGAUAACUACGUAAUUGAUUCGCAGGGAUAUAAGCUGUACUAGGUAUCUUUCGUAGUCGUAGCGAUUGGGAAAAGUAGCAAUCACCGUGUUACAAUUUUAUAUUUUAGUAAGGUAUAUACUUGAAUCACGAAACAUCAUAAAAGUCCUUAUUGUAUUUUAUAAGAAUAAGAUGUUGUAGUGUGAAAAGCGCAAUACACAAAAAAAAAAAGAAAAAUUAAUGUACUUUAAAUUUUUUUUGGUGAAUUUUAAAGCAUUAAUGAAUGUGAUAGCACCUUUUAACAAUUGAAACUACUGUGAAUUUUGUCGAAUUUUUGUAAUUUGAAAUAUGGUGCAUACUAAAUUAUAGAAGAAACUAAAAAUAAUUGUAAAAUCUAUAAAAUUAUUAAGAAAAGCUUCUAGAAGUUUUGAACUGAUGAAUAACAUACAGUAUAGAUAUAAAUAUGUAAAUAUUAAUGCUUAAAAUGUGUAAGCAUUUUUUUGCACGAAUUACUUUUGCAAAAUUGUAAGCGAUCAAUUCGAAAAGAUAUUAAUUUCCCAUGCAAAAACAUUAAAAUUGAUUGAUCUUAUAUAAUUUAAAAGUAUUAUAUCCUCCCUGCCCCUGCAAAGUAUUUAAUAUAUCCUCCCUGCAAAUAUAAAUAUAAAUAUAUUUAAUUAAAUAAUUAUAAUAUAUAUUUAUGUAAUAUAGUAUAUGCGUAUAUAAUAAUUAUAAUUAUAAAUAUAAAUAUAUUAUAAUAGUUAUAAAUAUAUUAUAUAGUUAUAUUAUACUAAAAUAUAUAAUUAUAAUAAAAUACUAUAAUUAUAAUAUAUAAUAUAUAUAAUUAUAUAUUAAUUUUUUAAACCAAUGAUAAGAAGGACUCCAUUUCUAAACAAAAAUCAGGCUUGGGUUUUAUCCAAAACCCUUUAGGUUAUUAGGGAACCGAGGAAUUCCAAAUUUUUAGACAUGAUUCCAAAGUCUCAAUUCUAAUAGUAGUAAUUCAAAUAAUAAUUAUGAAAUUUAUUCUAAUUCUUUGUUCCGAAAUCCUCUUACCGAACACCGGCUAAUAAAGACAGACAAUUUCUCGACGGAGGAUUUUCUACCGUUGGAUUACCACUUACAUCGUUAGAUCAUUAAAGUUGUUUCUUUAAUUUUGUUUCGUUCUAGGAUUUUCGUUCUAGUGAGUAUAUGCAGAUCCCGAGAGUCUUCUAGGGCAAAUGCAACCUCAUAAAAAUCACGUCGACUUCCCUUUCCAGAUAACUCAACAGGAUUAGCAACCAAGAGACGAGUUCUGCAUCAGGGGCCACGCGGCUGGUAAUGGUGACUCUCAUUGGAUGAAGCAUCUCUUCCUUUAGGCGAGAACACAAAGCAACGUAGAGUUUUUUCUUCAAUACCACCAUGUGUGAUUAUGUUUAGUAGGAUUCCCUUUCCAGAUAACUCAACAGGAUUAGCAACCAAGAGACGAGUUCUGCAUCAGGGGCCACGCGGCUGGUAAUGGUGACUCUCAUUGGAUGAAGCAUCUCUUCCUUUAGGCGAGAACACAAAGCAACGUAGAGUUUUUUCUUCAAUACCACCAUGUGUGAUUAUGUUUAGUAGGAUUCCCUUUCCAGAUAACUCAACAGGAUUAGCAACCAAGAGACGAGUUCUGCAUCAGGGGCCACGCGGCUGGUAAUGGUGACUCUCAGUGGAUGAAGCAUCUCUUCCUUCAGGCGAGAACACAAAGCAACGUGAGUUUUUUCUUCAAUACCACCAUGUGUGAUUAUGUUUAGUAGGAUGUUCUUGAGGCUUUGAAGUGAAAACGGAUUAUUCUUAGUGGAUAGUUUCUCUACUAAACAUGAUAAAACUUGCAUUUAGUCUGAUGUACACCCAUUUUGCUUGAAAUAUUUCGUUAAAAAGCUCGACUCUUGCUAUGUAUUCUGUUUUAUGGUUGACUUCCUGAUGCAUAAACUUAUUUAACAUAACACUGGGGUGAGGUUUUGCUGUAAACUCAGGUCUAAAUGAUUUUGUUUCUUGAACGUGCACAGAGAUUAGCAUGAAAUAAGAUUAGCUCUCAGUAGUCCCGUAAUCAGAAGUUGAAAUUUCUGUUUUGCUAAAAAAAAAAUUUGAUGCUUUUAACCUCGUUCAAAAGUUAUUAAUUUUCUUUGUCAUUUGGUUAAUUGCAGACUCGACAGGUGAUUUCAUCUUCAUGUAGCAUUUGAUACUUAAUAUUUUCUUUAGCUGAAUUCUAGGCUUCGAUCAAUUGAAAUUAUUAUUUGACGGGACAAACCUGACGGCAUUUUAUGGUAGGUUCUACCAUAAGUCUGACACAGUUUAUAUGGUGAUUUGUGGUCUUGCAGGUUAUAGUUUCAGGGUACUCUGGUAUUUGCAUUUCUCUGGUUGGUUUGCCUACCUGGAUCUACUCCUCCAUUCACGAUCAGGCUAAGUAAACUUAAAUUUUCCCAUUUUGUUUUUCUAUUCUCUGUGGUUUACAUCAGUUUGCUUUGGCAAUUGUCUUCCAUUUGGUACUUAGUUUUGUGUUUUGGUUGCAUCCCUUACAGUUAAGAUUUAAUUCAACUUGUGAGUGACUUAUUGUAGAGAAGUUGCCGAUCGCGAACUAAUUUGCUCCUUAAGUCACAUUUUUCGGACAAAAGAACUAUUCCAGGGCUAGUAUUCUUGGUGACACGGGAUUAUAUUUUUUGGAAGCAUAAUUGCCAAAUACCCGUAGGAGGAGGUUGUGGGUGUAUCUUUCACGGCAUUGGUAUCUUUUAUAUUUUUAUUUCAUUGAUUUUCUUUUUGGGAUCCAUAUGGAUUCUAAACUUGAUACUGAGGCAUUGAUGGCAAUGCCCACUUUUAUUGAAGUUAAAUUUGAGUAUUUGUUUUCUUUUCCUACCUUUUCCAAGUGAAGGUUUUAUUUUUAGUUUCUUUGGGCUAAGCUAUUUCGUAUUCCAAGCAUACUCUGUAAUUUUGAGUCUAUUUAGGCUUUUGAUCUUUUUUCCUUUGGUUUAUUCUAAAUAAAAAUUUGUUUUGUUAUGCUGGUGAUUUAAUGGUGCUUUAUUUGCUUGGUUAGUCAUUCAAUAUUGUCUUUGGUCUGGUUUUCUUGAGAACUGAUUCAAUCAUAUCUUGUUUUGACUGAAAGUGAAAUUUUCUAGAUUGCAACUCGUAAAAUUGCCUUUUCUCCCUUUUUUUAAGAUGGAAGAACUGAAAAAUGACUAUUCAUAGUCCAUCCAACAAUUGAGAUAAUGGUUUUGGUAAAGCUUUCAGCACAUAAAUAACAUGAUGCUCAUAUUUUGAGCACGUAAGUCGAAGUAGUAAAACUUCUGUAACUACAUGUUCUCAGAUUAAUAAAUGCUUUUGGUUGUAGUGUACUGUUUGUGCUCUGUGCGAUGCAUAUUUUAAAGAUAUUUUCUGAAUGUUAUAAAUUUGAGUGCACAUGAAAUGACUAUCAGUUUAUCCAGUAAUCUACGUGGAGAAGAUUAAGUAUAAUCCUUAGAGGUUGCAUAUUUGGGGUGGGCAGCUUCACCUAGUACUUCUACUUGAGAAGUCUACCCUGGCCAUCCAAACCCUAUUUUCUCAUAUAUUUUUCAAUAGUUUUACCAGCUCCAACAGCUUCCUGCCUGAGCUGAACUUGGGAAUUAUUUAUAGAAGGUUAUUUUGAUAAUAUUGAUAUUUGAUAUUUUGUGAACGUCCUAAACACUAAGUCCGUUGAAUCUUCUAGUGUUUUAUGACAUGGUUGCUUAUUUUAGUAAUGUUGAUGUUUGAUGUUUCAUUUAUGGUUAGUUGAUAACAUAAAUCAGUUUGUUUGCUGGUUUUUGCAAAGAAUGUUUGCUGUAGUGUAUGAUAGCUGUGGUGGUCCUAAGGUCUUGAAGUGGAAAGUGGUUGAAAAUCCCGUACUCGAUUUUAAUGAGGUUUUGAUCAAGGUUGAAGCCUGUGGCGUUAAUAGAAGAGACUUAUGGAUACGGGAAGGCAUAUAUCAACACUUGGGAAAGAACAAAUAUUUGGGCUUUGAGUGCUCGGGAACUAUUGUAAAAAGAGGAGCAGCAGCUUCUAAAUUGCCUAUAGGCUCCAAGGUUGGCUUAGCUUAAUUUACAUGCAAAUUUUUGUGUGCUUAUUCCAAAAAAUAAAUAAAUUAAUCAAUACAAAUCAGCUUCUACUUUGAAACAUGCUUUUGUGUUCCUCUUGUCCAUUACUUGCUACUAAUAAAUUUUGACUAGGUACAAAGUUUUUUUUUUUCCUCUAUGUUUAAACUUUGAAGUGAUACUAAAGCAACAUGAGAGGUAUUCAAGGGCGGUAAAAGCAAAAAGAAAGCGACAUGCUACUGUUCACCUAUAGAAUAUUAGAGAUGCCAAAUUAGGGGGUGUGGAAGAUAGUUACUGUAGCAAGUAAAACUGCUUAAAAUAGCAAAGAUAUGCGAGUUUUUCUUUUUGGUACAUUGGAUGGCCUAGACAUAGCUAACAGGUAUACCUGACUUCUUUCAUCUGCAUUGCUUGCCUCAUCAUGCCAGUUUAUUGGUCUCCAGUCUCCACUGCCUGGGCAACCAGCAAAAGUGAGCUUGACCUUAACCUCUUUAAACAGGCAAAACUGCUUUUCAUGUCUGCCAAGAAAAGUACAAAACUGCUUGCUUACAUCUUGGGAUGUGGAUAAUUUGGUACUUUAAGGUUCCAAUCUAUCCAUUCUACCAAUUGAUUAUGCUACAACUCCUUUAAAAUAUAGGAAGCACAAGCUUCUUCUAAAUCCUUUGAUCCAAUGGCAAUCUGGUAAUGCAUAGAGAGUGGUUUCAAAAUCCUCAUCCAUGCAUCAGUCCUUGUGUCUAUAUAAAUUUUGCCCUCUUGGACAUUGGUCUGUCAAGAUGAACCAACCUCAGCAUAUAUUACUUGCACCUCUCCCGCUUCCGAAUUCUGUCCUGCUUACUUGCCUAGAUUCUUAAGGGGAUAUUUGCUUGUAGGUUUGCGCUCUUCUUAAUGGUGGAGGAUAUGCGGAGUAUGUGGCUGUUCCAGAAGACUAUGUGAUGUCUAUACCCUCUGGGUUAACUUUUGAGCAAGCUGCUGCAAUACCAUGUUCAGCAUCACUCAUUUGGCUCAGCUUUUUUGAAAGGAACAAUCUUAUUCGUGAUGACAAAGUUUUGGUAACGCUUUGCUUGUUAUCCUGAGUGUUCUUUAUUUGAGCUUAUAAAAAUAAAUAAGAAAUUAUUUCUUUUUAAACAUUUCAGAUUCAUGGGGCAGCAUGGGGAGUUGGUUCAUUAGCGGUCAGAAUUGCGAAAAGUCUAGGGUGUGUUGUAUUUGCAACAGCAGGUUUGUUGGUUUUGGUCUGACUUGCAUUUCGUUGCCUUAAAAUUCUUGUAUGUGUGCAUUGGAUUGUACAUACAAAUUUUCCUUUUGUUUAAAAUACGAACAAGUUAAUAGUUGGUCUUUCUAGUUAGUUGCCUAAAUUAAUUGCAAAAGAAUUUAGAUAAUUUUAGAACAUCGACAUUACAUGGCAGGAGACAAGAGCUAGCUAGCUAGGUUCAAACUUAAGAUUUAAGAUUGAAGAUGACGAGUUAACCGUUGUACAAGGUUUGAUUAGAUUUUGUUGUUUUUUCUUCCAGGAUCCGAGGAAAAAGUAGAUUUUUGCAGGACUUUAGAUGCUGAUUUUGCCAUUAACUACAAGAAGCAGGAUUUCUCUGAGGUCGUGGCUCGUGAAACUAAUGGGACUGGUACAUAUUUUGGUUUCGUCUAACAUAUUUUUGUAUGGAAACUUUGCACUCCAACCCCUUCUUCCCCUGCCUCUUCCCUGGCUAAGUUUGAAGUGUACGAUGUUAUUUUAGGAUUCAUGACAAAAUUUUGCUAACUAGUCAGAAGAUGUGAAACCUUUAUUUUAUUUAUUUUGGUAUAGUUGGAUUCAAUUUAUUUCUACACUGAAGUAAUUCGUUUCAGCAUGGUAGUUGAUCCUUAAUUACUUUCAGGUGAAUGUUGUUGUUAGUUAGUUAUUGUUUGCUAAUGCAUUGUUUAUUUUCGUUCGUUCCUUUUUCUUUUGAAGGGGUGAAUUGUGUAUUAGAUUGUCUUGGAGAUGAUGUUGUUGACCAGAAUUUGAAAAGCCUAGCGGUUGGCGGUAAGCUUAUAUGUAUUGGAUAUAAAGAUCAUUGGAAAUGGAGUUCCGUGGAGAUGAAGGAUCUUGUCUCUAAAGAUGCAACAAUCAUGGGUAUCUCUUAUUAACACUUUUCAUUCAUCUUUUGUGUUGAGGUACCAUAGUCAAACUUGCAUAACUAGUAGGUUUUGUUAUUUAAUGCAGGGAUAAAUAUAAACACCUUUAAUGUGGUUGGAAAGCGUAACAUGCUUGAAGGGAUCCGGCGAGACAUUUGGCCUCUUCUAAACAACAAUCCCCACCUUGUGGACAUUUGUGCGACUUACUCAUUUGCUCAAGCCACACAAGCACACACCUUAAUGGAGAAGAACCUCCAUCGAGGAAAGAUUGUGCUAUUACCCCGUACGGACCUUCCUUAAAGGAAGGAAGGUGGAAAAUCUCUCUAGUUUCCUUCUCAUAUUUGUAUAAAAUAGGAGUUGCUUGAUAGUUGGAACCAAUAGCGGCUGUUCACAAAAUUUGUUUUUGCAUUCUGGCGCUUGCUUCAGCUAGCAACAAUCGAAUUAUUACACAAAUUACAUUAAAUUAAGCGCACGCAAUGUCAAGCCCAAGAAAUAGUUUUAUAAUCAAAUAUUGAUCUACGUAGAAUUUAACUUCAAUUUCAAAAUCACGUCAGUUGGAUUAAUUUGUAACGCCAACUCUGACAAACUACAGCUCCAAAACGAAAAAAGAUUGUCCAACUCCGAACCUUGUCUAAACGAUCACUAAGAAAAAGUAAUCCAUGGUUUGGCAAAUAGGUUUGAGUUUAGAGGUCGACUAUAUCGACCUGGAGCUACCAAGCCCUCCGAUGGCAUUUCGAUUGAUUGUCUAACAAAAAUUUGUCCGGCAUUAAUCCCAUAAAACUCACUGAAAAUGAACUAGCAUUCAGCAAAUUUGAGGUAUAGCAAAUUUUAGUAUUUUUCACAAAUUUUCUAGACUUCGCAUUUGGGAAAUGCGAAGUCCAUUAGCAUUUUCAAAGAGUUUGCAUUUGCUAAAUGCAAAGUCUACAAAUUCUCUUUUUUUUUUAAAAAAAAAAAAAAAAUUUUUUUUAACCCAACCAAGGCCUAUUUACAAAAUGCAAAACAACACAAAUUUUUGUGACUUUACAAAAUCUGAAAUUUACUGCAUUUUAUUCUAAAAUGAAAAGUAUUAAUAUUUGGUUACCUCAUAAAUCGAAGUGCCUUUUCUUUUUCUUUUUAUGAGGAUAUUCUUGUAAAAAAAUAACUUGAUUGUAUGUGCGUCUGUGUGUCUGUGUGUGUUUUUUUUUUCUAAAGAAAAAUUAUGUGGAAUUAUAGAUAAUGAAUUGGUACAUCGUAAACUAACUAAUCGAGCCAAAUAACAUCCAAUGAACUGUUUUGGUAGAUUUAACAUGUAUAGUAGGGCACAUUACCUCACUAAUUACACAAUGACCAUAAGUAGAUCAAUAAGAUUAUUUACAUUGAUUGAUUUGAAAGAUAGUUAUUCUCUCAGCAAUUUGGUAGAUUUAACAUAUAUAGCAUACCUCACAAAUUACACAAGGACCAUAAGUAGAUGAAUACGAUUAUUUACAUUUAUUGAUUUGAAAGAUAUUUAUUCUCUCAGCACUAACUGAUGGAUUAAGGUUUAUAAAAUGUGAUGUUGGAUUACUAAAAGAAUUGAUCGAUAAUGUGGUUAUAAAAGUGGAGUAGCAUACUACCUUAAAAGUUAAACUAAAUUCCAAACUAUUAGCCAUAUCGUGAAUUGUUAUUUUCCAUCUGUUAAUUUCGUAAUUAGAAGGACUUGCAUGUAGAAAAAGUUAGGUAUCAUGUCAUGACCAAAGUUUAUUUUGACUAGUGUUCGAGGCACACACAUUUAAUAAAAGAAAUUUAUGUCAAAUUUUUUGAUUAUAUUUGAAAUUAUUUUCAAGAGAACUAGUUUUAUACUGUAAUGGUAAAUAUGCAGAAAAUUCAUUAAAAUAAAAUAUAUAAAUAAAUAAUUAUUUAGUAGUAAUUCAUAACCAUAAAAGAUAGUUGCUAAUAAAAAUUAAGGUUUACUAAAUAUGUUGAAAAGCAAAAUAAUAAGAAAUACAUCUUAGUCGGUAUUGGAUAUAUUGGAAGUGGGAAGUGGGUAGUUAUCAAGGAUAGUUUAGAAAAAACAUGAAGUGAUAUAAAAAGUUUACACCACCUCCCUCUUCCUGUAAAUAUAGUAUAGAUAAUAAGAUGUGAUAUGUAACUAGGAACUUAGUGUGUAUUUAGUUGGUUUGUAAUUGUGCCUUGAUUGAAAACACCAUAUAAUACAAAGGAAGAGUGAAUCACCAAGCAAACAAGGUCCAUACUUUUAAAAGUGAAAAUCAGUGAAGGUCCAUGUACACAAAUUAUUUCUGUAGACAAAAGGAUGCAUCACUUAUGUCCUCCCAAGUUUUCUAUGAGUCCAUCAUCCCUCAAGUUUACGCACUCUAUUAGUUCUACGAGGUUGGUUAGGCACAUCUCUAGUUUUUUUUUUUUUUUUUCUGACACAGUGGGUAUCUAGGAUUCGACGGAUUAUUUUUCCGGGCCCAACUAAUCUCACUGUGCUUGGGCCCCUGCCCCCGAGAGACACAAGACGAUAACAAGAAUCAAACCACGACUACACGGUGUCAGGACCUGAAGAGGCUUCCCCAGCACCAACCGAGCCAACCCUGGGGGGCGGUUAGGCACAUCUCUAGUUACUUGAGUAAUUAAUUUAUGACUCCAUAGUAAUGUCCACCGAUUGCAAAGUUUUGAAGCCAUUGCCUACUCGUGUUCACCUCAAUUUGUUGAGCAGUGUCUUGUGAUCCCAUCUAAGGUAAACUUAAUAAUUCAGGCUGAGGUCCUUGGCCUUUAUUUUGUGAUGUAAUUCUAUCUAAUCAUUAGAAUUUAAGGUAACCUUUUUUUGUGAAUGUGUGGAUCCUUGUUGGCUGAACUAGGAGAUAAUUUGAAUAAAUGUUUUCUUUGUUUGGAGAGAGAUUUUAGUUUCUUUCCAGUCUGACCUAGACGCAAAUCUUGUUGUGAAGGGGAUGUUACACUUCUAAUGGUAGGCUAGUACUAGUUCAAGCGACUGAUGUCACCAAGUUCACUGGGAAAUAUACUUUAGCGACAUACGCUGCCAUUCUCUGGGGUAAACAAUGAAACAUUUACAUAGCAGCAUUUAAUCCAUAGUAGAAAACUAAUCAUUCAAGCACUUAUUAUCAAUCAUCAUAAUGCUUUCAGUGGCAUGUUGUUUCUUUAUAUUUGUUGUUAACUUGACAUUUAGUCCUGUUGCAGACUCAUGCGGUUGCAAGAAACAAAUGUUAACCAUAGGCUCUUGGUUUAGUUAUUGGAGUUUUGGGUCAAUUAGCACUCAAGGAAGAGGCACCAGUGGCUUGUGAAAGGAGUUGGCAUUUUAAUAGCUUCUUGACAAUCUGCAGAACACAAAGGGGUACAGCUAGUUCGUACAAGCAUAUGAUUCUCACAUACUCUGUUAUCUUAAGAAAAUGCAUGUAGUUGAUGUAUGAUAAUUGCUUAACUGUUCAGGGUGAACAGUUGCUAGUGAUCACAAUUGUACAUAAGUGCAUUUCAAUAGUUUUCUAUAACAUUUAUUUUUGGAGAGACAAUUUUGUAAUCAAAUUUUCUCUAAAAUGUGAUCACUACCUGAUAUGGAAUGUAAAGGCCAUGUGUGUUUACUUGAUUUUAUGAUGCUUUCCUUUUAUCACUUAAAGCUUUUGCUGGCUGUUGAAAUGUUAUUCUUUUUCAUUUUCACCUUUUUGUACUCGUUAUUACUGAAUGAUGGUGUGAUGCUUUCCAUGUAGGAUAUCAAAACAAUGAUUACAUGCUUCUAAUAGUAUGUUUCUGGCUAUUUUGAGAUGCAUUUUUCUUGUUUAAUUGUCCUUAUUUAUCUUCUUGUGGAGCAUGUAUGAACUCAUUUGGCAACUUGUUUGGAGUUUCAAAGUUGAUUUAGCACCUUACACAGUGUUACUUUACUUCUCUUUAGCAGGCCCUCUAAAUUUGGUAUUGAGUGACUAUUUAGUUUUGUUAUCUUUGAUCAUUUGGCAUCUUGAAGAGACAUACUAAAAGGAUAUCCAUUUGGUUUCCAAUUUUGUGGUUGGAACCAUGGUGGCCCACGGUAGUUCCAUUCAGUUUCCUUUUUCAUGUUUGGAGCUGGGUAGUCCCCUGUCUUAAAAUGGUUUUCUAAUAACGUGGCCCCUCCCCCAAGCUGUCGGUUCCUAAAGGCUGCUUUCCUUGAUUUACUUGAAGCUAGUAUGUAUCAUCAUAAUUUGUGUCAGUUACUUGUGACAUAAUCAAUAACUGCUUUUUUGUUUAAUUUGAAGAUGUUGGCUGUCCGUAUUCAAAGAGCUGGAGGGCCGGAUGUGUUAAUACCGGAAGAAUUAGAAUUGCCUGAGAUCAAAAUUUAUGACGUUUUAAUUGAUGUAGAAUGGUGUGGGGUUAACAGAAUAGAUUUGGACCAAAGAAUAGAAGGGAAGAAGUGCUCAAAUGGUGUGGCCUAUUGUCCAGGGCUUGAAUGCUCUGGGCGUAUUAUAGCUGUGGGGAAAUAUGUCAGUCAGCAUAAGCCAUCUGAUCGGGUAAGUUUUAGUCAAUUGAAUGAGAAAUAAAGUUAAAUGGGUAUAAAAUAUUGUUGAUUGUUCUUUUUCUGGAAGGAAUCUAAAACUUUAUUUAACUGUUGAUUAUCUCUUCUAUGUUCAUUGCAUUAGUGUUACUUGUGAUAUGAGAAUGAAAAUGUUACCAAUUUAAACUACUAAGCUGUUUACCCUCCAAAAACAUCCUUUUGUUGCCUCGUCGAGCGUGCUCUGAAGGCUUAUGUAAUGCAGUUUGGAUCUUGUGUUUAAAGAUUCUUGAAUUCAACUUUGCGUUUUUGUAUUUAUCGUAAUUUGGUGGUUCCUCUAGCAUUUCGAUGUCCUAAAUGUGUAUUUGGCCAACUUAAAUGGUGCUUGGAAUGCAAGAAAAUGUAUAUUUUAUAGUGCGUUGAAGGCAGGCUCAUAAACACAGGAAAGGCUCUCGAUAUGUUGCUCUAGCUCUUCUAAUUUUUUGUUUAUUGGAGCAAAUUGCUCGUUAUUCUAUAUUUUUUUCAUUGCAUUGGAUGAAAACGUAAAACAUAAAGUGGAUAGUAGUAUUUGAUAUUUGAUAUUUCCUUCUGUUGGAUGCACUAGGGUAAGAGAAAAUUAUUCUAUUACUUAGGCAAGUAAGAUAGAAUUAUGAGGUCAACUAAAGUUGUAUUUGCUGAUGCUUCCGAUUAGUUUUGAUGUAUCUUUGAAAAAAAUAUUAUUGACAUAUUAUGCAGGUUUGUGCGAUUCUUGAUGGAGGGGGUUAUGCUGAUAAAGUGGUAGUGCCAGCCAAUCAAGUUUUUGAGGUUCCUGAAUGUAUUUCCCUCAAAGAAGCUGCAUGUUUUCCUGAGGCUGCUUGUACCAUUUGGCAGGCCUUUUCCAAGGUCAAGAUAGAAAGAAGAAAAACCAUAUUGGUAAUUGAGUAAUUAGCAUUCUCAUGAAUAACUAUCCUUUUACAACUUUCUUAUGAUAAAAAUCCAAUUCCUGUUUUGUCUAAUGUACUGCUUUAAACUUGUGUUAUGAAUUUUUUAUUCCAUCACGAGAAAUGUAACUUUGUCUUGGGUGAUUUUGGACCUAUUCUUUUUCUUUUUGCUGAGGAGGACAUUUUAAAUAUGCAUUUUUGUUUGUUACUAUUGUUGUUUUAAAAGCUAUUAUGUGUUUAGUGUGUCCUGCCAUCUUUCAAGUUUCUGCGUUUAUGUAUAUUGGAAUGUCACAUUUGGUAUAAAAUGUUUGUAGUUAAGAAAGUCUGAUAUGCUUAUCAUUGAUAAUAAUACAAAAUGAUAGUCAGUUUGAAACAUUUCAGGUACAUGAAGCCUGUGGUUAUUAUGCAGUAUUUGCGAUACAGAUGGCAAGACUAAAGGGGAUUCGGGUGUUUGUUGCUACAGGUUUGCGUUCAGUUUUCAAAUGCAAAAGUCUGUUUAAAGCCGCAGAUUGUAUUUAAAAAUGCUACUGGGAUAAUCAAUUUUUUUGGGUUGCAAAUGUCUUUGUAGAAAAUGAUGAAAAUAGUAAUUUUUACAUGGAGCUAGGCGCCUACAAAUGUAUCAACUGGAACGAUGAUGAUUUUCUUACUCAGGUGCAGAAACUAACGUCAGAUAGAGGUAUAGUUUUUAUUUUAACUUUUUGGGAUAUUUGUAGUAAUGUAUUUACUAUUGAGUAUCCAGGCUUCUUAAUGUUUUUCAUUUUAUUUUGUUGUUGGGAACGGUGAAUAAGUUAGAGAAUAUACUUAAUUGUUUAGAGUCAAACUUUUGGCACAACGACUAGAAGAUACGAUGAAAUGCUUUCAUUUGAUAUCCAUGCUAUUUCCUAUGUUUACUAUUUUUGAAUUUUGAUUAAUAUUAUUCAAUGUCAGGUGGUAUUGAAAUUAUCUUGGAUAGUAGGGGAGAUCAUUUGCCUCAAGAUCUAGAAGCCUUAUGUUUCGGGGGUGUGGUCGUAUUUUUGGACAUGCAUGGUAAAACAUUGGUGGAUGUUGAUAUUCAGUGGCAUAACGUAUCUCUCAUAUUAAGCAUAACCUUCUUUCAGCUCUAAACCAUUCUUCAGGACCCAACCAGGCAUGGUUGCCGGGGUUAUAGAGAGGAAUGGAGAACAAAUUGGGUGGUUAAGUGGCCUAUCCAUUACAAUUUUUCCUGACUUGGUUGAGUAUGUCUUCAUAUUGGCAAUGCACGCAUCUAUUAUGAAGGCCAACAUUCUGCUUGACUCUGUCAUCUUUUGGAACUUCUUGCCAUAAAAAUCUCAGAUAAAUUGGUGCGCAUUAGUUUUAAGUUACCUUGUAGUCACUAGUCUUGUGUGUUUUCUAGUAUUGCACAUUAUAUAGGAUGAAGUGUUAGAUAAGAAAUGCCCAUUGAUGCGGAUUGGAAGUCCAUUCGAUUGGAUACUAACUAGUAUUUUCUUGUUACAAUUUGAAUUAGGUAUGUGAUUUUACCUACUCUUAAGCGGAUCAUGAAUGUAAUUCUCAAGAAAUGGUCUAUAUUCUAUAGGAGUUAACUUUUCUUUAAUGCUAUUAUAUCUGGUUAUUUUUUUUGGUCUCCUAGAUCUUUGAUUGCUUUCACAAUUGCCUUAUCACAUAUGAGCUGUAUUGGCUGGUGUAUGCAGUGGUUGAUAGGGCCCAAAAUUUGGACAGAAAAGUCGUUCUUGGCGCUAAGCUGUAUAUGCAGGAUGCAAUCAAUACUGGACUGGUGAAAUUGCAUCCUGGAAAGUGCUUCCAUCUUUCUGAGGCAAAUCUUGCUCAUAGGUACAUGGAGAGCAUGAACAUAGGUCAGAAAAUGUUGUCCCCUUUGGCUUCAUGGAAUCCAAGUUUAGUGCCUUUUGUUUACAAGGGGAUGUUAGCAAAACACGUCAAGGGGAAAACACUGCUUGAUUGUCAAGCGAAGGGACAACCUGAUAAAAGGCGAAAAUUAGAAUAGAGUUUCAGGGGUCUAAAAGCUACAAUUGUGUCCAAACCUAUGUUUGGAUUUUGAACUGUCCAUUCUAAAUUUUUGUAGUUCAGAUUGUGUGGCACGUACAUUUUCAGUGUCUAUUUUGAGAAUUUGCAGUCCAGACAUGAAAGUUGUAUUGUAAGGUUAAUGAUUAUGUAAGUUGCAGACUUCUUUAUGCUGGAUUCUAACAUAAGAAUGGAUUUGUUGCGUCAAUGGUGAAUUGGUUGCAGUUUCCGCCUAAUGAAGUUCUCGUGUGUGGGGUAUUUUUUGGUACUUGCCAAUUUUCACGUGUAGGUGUUAUUUGAGCUGGAAUUGCUAAGUUGCUUUUUCAUUUAGGGUGCUGAUAUUAGCACAUAAAUUCCAAUUUUUUAAUUUAUAUAUUUUGAAAGAAAAAAGAAAGGAGAAGAAGGCAUCGAAAGGCUUUUCUGCUCUCUUCUUUCUCGCCGCCCAUCACGUCCUUCGCUCUCCUCUAUCUUCUUGUCUUACUACUAGGGAAACCAAGCUGCCCAAGGCGCAGCUUGGGCCCACCUAGAAUAUUAUUUAAAAUAUAUUAUUACAUUUUAUUUAGAAAAAUAUCAGCAAUAUAAGAAUAAAAAAAUAUGGCAAAUACAGAUUCAACAUGAUAGUGUUUCUGUUUAGCAUUGCUAAUUGGAAACAUUAGCACAAAAAUAAUAGUCCUGAGUUAAAAAUUAACUGAAAAAAAAAGUAAGAACAUUUGUUUUGUAAAAUUAAUUAUAACAAAUAGAUACACCUUCACAUGUCCUUAUUUGAAAAUAUAAUAAUAGCAUGGCAAAUUAUGUCAACAUGGUUACGAAGAAAUAACUCAUUCAACUCGCAACACACGAGUCUAAAAGCAUCACCGAACAUAUAAUGUCCCAAAAUUUCAGAAAGAAAAUUAACAAUAUGAGCUAUGUUAACAAUAUGAGCUGUGUUAGAAAAUUAACACCCUUUAUUUUGGGAGCGGUUGUCGAAGAUAACAGAAAUGAAGCAGAGAUUGAAUGGUCGUGAUUCAUGGGGUUGGAGUCUUUGAGAAUUCUUGAUGAAAGAGCAAGCCAUUUCGGCUGAUCCUCAUCCACCCACUUUGUAAGACCAGCAAUUUUGGCAGAUCUAUAAUUGAAUCAUAUAUGGGUUCUUCUAAUUGGUACCUAGAGCUGGCAAAAAAGCCCAACACCCAACAACCCACCCAACCCGUCCAUUAAUUUUAAAGGAUGGGUUGGGUCAAUUGGGUUAUGGGUUUUAUUGGAUUGGAUUGGGUAAGAACAACCCAACUUAUUCAUUGAACGGGUUGAAUUUUUUAUUUGGGUAUCCAAUACCUAACUUGUUUAAAAGUAAUUCAAAAUAAUAAAUACAUUAUUCAAUACACAUAUGCUUAACUAUUUGUAUUUGGACAUGUGUUAAUAAUGCAUUGAUUAAUUUGUAUUCAAAAUUCUCAUAUAUAUAUUUUCAAUCAAUUUUUUUAACUUUUAUUUAAAAGAAAAAAGAUGCCCAAGAUGACCAAAAUGACACUUGACAGCCACCAUCUUUAUUUUCUUUUAAAUCAUGUCUCCACCCGAUUUAUUGGUCUGAAGAUAAUUAUUCAGUCCUUUCCCUCUCUUCUUUUUCUCCCCUGAUAAAUUUUUUUUUUUUAAAAAUCCACAAUACUUUUUGAUUGCUGUUUAACAAAAAAUUACAAUUGAUCCGCAGGUAGUGAAACAAAUUCUAACAUAAAUUUAAAGUACUAAAUUGACAAUUUGUUAAAAGGCAUGUAACUCUUAAAACUGAUUUAUAAGUUGUGAUUAAUACAAUCAUUCUAGAACACGAGUAUUUACUUAUUACAAGGCAUAUGGACUCUACAUGUUGAACAGGACACAAAUAAAGAGAAUACCUAAUACUAAUACUAGAACACCGUUUCACAUACGUAGUCCAAAAGCAUUUUCUUCGAAUCUAGCUAUUCUGACUGAUACAGAAUUUUUGGUCUCGAUAUCUAAUGCAUAAACUUUGCAAGCCGAAAUUUUGGUUUCAAGAGUACUCUAAUUGUUGAUACUAAUAAUGUUAUUAUACUUAUAAUCAUUAGAGUCCAAUGAAUUAAGGAAAGCCUGCUUCUGCUUCUGCUAGUUACAAAGUGCACCUUAAUUAAUUGGUUGUCAAUUAUUUGCUAGACUCAAAACAAUCUGGAAUUUCAAAUUCAAAUUUUACACAGUUGUCAUUCAUCCAACGCUGAUAGUGUAUACAUUGUCAGUGUAAGAAAGAUUAAUUCUUACUUUUAUUAUAUGCUACAAACAGAUAUAGUAGUAGUAUUACUUUUCUCGAUCAGGUAUUAUAAUCUUAAGUAAUCACAAGAUUCCUGAUUUUUUAAAUUUUUUUAGUAUAAGAAGUGAGUGUGUGUUUGUGUGCAUGAAAAUACAUUUAUGUAUGUGAAAAUGUGUUUAUAUGUGUGAAUUUUUUUUUUUUUUGUGUUAAAAUGUAUGUGAAAAAGUUUAUGUAUUAAAAUCUAUUAAUUAAUCUGUUGGGUCAUAUUUGGGUCAUAGGUUUGAGACAACCCAAUAUAACCCAACCCAAAAUCAACCCAAUCUAAAGUUGGACGGAUUGGAUAUAACCCAUUUAAGUGAAAACUCAAUAUUAAUCCGCCCAAAAUCCGCCCAAUUGCCAGGUAUAUUAGUACCUAGUUGAUACGCGCUACAUUUAAAUCACACCUAAUUUAUCAUGUAAAUGAAGACAUUAAGAAUUAUAAUUCUAUCUUAUAUUUAUAAAUUUUCGUAUUUAAUUUUUCUUUUCUAUAUAUUAAUACUUGAACUCCUCAUUUAGUAAGUCCCAAAUAUAGAUUGAUCUUAUAUAAGCACAGUUACAAUAUAGAUAUAUGGGGAAAAAAACUAUUGAAAACAUAUUAAUACUAAGUGCAACCUACUUCACCAUUUUUCACCAAAAAAGACAAAAUGUUAAAUAAAUAAAUAAGUAAUCAACAAGAUAUUCCUGUUAUAAAUUUUGAUUUAUGCAUCUAUAUCUUUUUUCCGUAUGAUAAAAACAUGUCGUGUUAAACAAAUUGACUAGUAGUUCAUCAAAUUCUUGUGUUUGUGGCAUACAAAUAAGUUCUCCAUUCACUGCUCAGAGUCUUUUGUCAUCAAUCACUGGACCGCAGCAUCAGAUUUCCCAGUCCCUAAGGGGAGUGCUGUAUUAAAUGAAGCGAAUGAAACAGAAACGAGUACUUAAAAGUAGAGACAAUUUCCUCAAAGUCUUGAACAGGUCAUGAAUACAGAUUGGUUUCUUGAUAAUUUACACCGGUGAACACGUCAACAGAUGGAUUGCUUUUUCAAUCCAAUCAAAAACGCUUAACGUACGCUUACAUGAAUUACAAAAACAAUUCUACGCAAAACUAAACUUGGGGCAAAAAAAUAAAAAAGAAAGGAGGAGGAUCAGAGAAAGGAAUACACAAGAAAUUAAGAUUGGGACGAUCAUUCUCAGAUUUACCAGCUUUUUCUAUGAGCAUGAAGCCCAGUUGGUUUUUCUGCUGGUUCACUUAGCACACUCUUAGGAGAAGACGAUCCAGAACUUUUUGGAGAUGCCACUUUGUCAUUCACCAUAUUCUUUUCGCUUAAUCUUCUUACAUAAUCUUUCUUGGUCUUCUUUGUUUCCUCCGAAGUUGAGCUCCUUUGUUUAAUCAUAGGUACUAAAUACCAUCCAAGGGAUGUGCAUAGUAUCGCAAAUGAUCUUCCAUACAUGACCAAGAGCAGUAGAAUCAAGGCCAUCAUAACCGGCAUGUACCAACAAGGGCGCCUCAAAUUUUUCAACUUUAAGCUCCAUCUAAUGCUCUUCUUUACAGGUCUUUGGCUGGAUUCCUCUUUCUGUUGUUGUCGAACUUCUUUAACAAAGGUUGAGGUCUCAAUUGCAUGUUUAUCUUCUGAUGGUAAUGAUUUCAUGCGUGACAUCUGUUUUUCUUUAACAUUGCCAACAUGAUUGUUACCAUUUCCUUGCUUCCUGUCCCUGGCCUUCACAACAAUCGGUUUCCAAUUGUUGGAAUUUGAAUAUACAAAACGAACAAAGGAGAUGUCUUCUGAGCCUUUUUGUGUGUAAAUCUUCUGCUUCUUGUCUUCAAGUUCAGCCAAAACUGCAGAGAACUUCUCAAGACCUCGAUUUGCAUAAGGGUUCUUGCUAUCUCUACUUCUACUGGAAUAACUCGUCUUUCUUGAUCUCUUUGGCGUUGAGCACGGGCCAAGAAGUUCAUCGAUAUCAUCUUCAUCUUCUUGACCGCUGAAAUUUCUUUAAUGUAAACAGCAUAAAGAGGUAGGGAUGGCAAUUGGGGCAGGUCAGAAGUAGGGAUGGCGUGACAGGUCGGAGGUAAGGAUGGCAAUUGGGGCGCAUAGAAAUGAUGGCGUGGCGGUGGGGGCAGGCGGAGGGGGGUGGGCCUCCUGCCACAUUAUUCGCCAUAUCCCUUGCAUAAGCAAAUAAAUUUUAAAAAUUAAAUAUAUAUAAUUAUUUAUUUAAUUGUAUUAGUUAUACUAUUGAAGACAUUCACAUUAUAUAUAUAAUUUAAUUAAUAUUGUUAGGCAAACUAAGACCUCUAUUAUUAGUCAUAAUUAAGACUUUCUUGAAAUUACACGUUGACUGUAAUUUCUUUAAUGUAAACAGCAGGCAACAAAUAAUGCUUGAAAUCUGUGUACUCCAAUUCAUGACCCUUAUUUUAUAUUUUUUACUGUUUCACAGGUUGAUUUGGUUAUCUUUGCGCAUAUGUUUUUUAGUCAAACUUAAUGAUUUCCCCAAUAGUAUUGAGUGGACCGAUAGCACAGGCUAUUGGUUUAUGAGUACAUGGAGCAUGGUUCUCCGGUCUCCAGUGAAAAAUCUACAUUCUGAUAGACUUGAUUGGAGGAAAAAAAAAGAGGUAUGAUAUUGCUGUUGGUUACUCUCUUACUCGCGUGAAGAGUGCUUAGAGUGGGUUUUGCACUGCGGUUUGAAGCCUCUGAGCAUACUCUUGGACUCGAAUUACCAGUCAAAGCUGGCAGAUUUUUUCCUUUCCAAACUAUUGAAGAGAGGUGGGACUAGGGGUGUCAACGAAUCGAAUUGAGCUCGAAUAUUAGUUUGAUCGAAUUCGAGUUCGACAAGGUGCUUGAGACUCGAGAUCGAGCUCGAGAUCGACGAAUAUUAAUUUUACAUGCUCGAAUUCGAUUCGUAAGGAAUUCGUGAGGAUCGAGCUCGUGUUCGAAAUUGCUCGAAUUGCGAUCGAGCUCGAGUUCGAGCGAUCGAACUCGAGCUCGAGUAGUCGAGCUCGAGUUCGAAAUUGCUCGAAUUGUGGUCGAGCUCGAACUCGAACGGUCGAACUCGUGUUCGAAAUUGCUCGAGCUCGAGCUCGAGCUCGAAGGUCCAUUAAAAUUGUGCUCGUUUAAAGCCUGCUGAAUGCUGAACCAAAUGAUCUACACAAAGAUACUCUAUCAACGACAUUUUGCAAUACAAUGAAAGGGGUAAAGAACACAAAAACGUUAAUAACUAACACAGAUAUUUUAAAAUGUGUUUGACUGAAUCUUGGAGCAGGACGUUUUUAUACACCAAGUAACUGCACAAGCUGUUAUUGUUAAAAUAUGUCGUUCAAACUAUCUACUCUAGUAAUCAAUAUUUCAAGCAGCACAAAGAGGGACAGCAGAGGUAUCUUGUUAGUCAGACAAAAUCAUAUUCAUCUGAUUCCUUUUUAGCCUUGACAUUUGUUACAUGUUAAGGCUAAAAUCAUACAUCUAAUGCCUGGACACAGAACACAAAUAAGUCAGUCUGCAAUAUCCUUUUUAGCCUUGACAUUUGUUACAUGUUAAGGCUAAAAUCAUACAUCUAAUACCUGGACACAGAACACAAAUAAGUCAGUCUGCAAUAUCUUUAAGCCGAAUUUGUCCUUCAUUCAGCCUUUUAUGUGAACCAAAUCACUGAACAUCACUGUCCAAAGUCCAAACUCAUCUAUAUGAUUGAGAAUCUAAGACAAGCCAGCUUUAAAUAUCAAUUUAAAGCCAAAGCAUCAAACUGUCAAAAAUUUAGCAGCCUAAUGCCAAGUUGUCAACCAAUAUCCAAAUGCAUCCAUACAUAUUUUAACAUCAAAACCAGCAUCCAAAUUCAAAGAUAAGUCAGACAACCAACAUCCACCAAGUCACGCAAAUAGAAACAACAAAGACAAAGUGUCAACAACUCAACAUUCAAGAGAAUGUCUUCAACAGGCAAUGUCAAUUGUCAAGAAAUAAUCAUACUUAAAAAAGUGAAACAAAUUUUGCAAUUAAAGCAGUAAAACAGCAACUUCUUGUCCAUUCCACGAUAAUCCUUUCCAACUUUCCAAUUUCAACUGCAGGCCCUAUAUAAAAAAAAUAAUUUAAGUAAUAAAAUAGUAGUGGUAAAAUCUAAAACAAGAUAUUUGAAGAGAAAUCGAAGUGUUAAACACAAAUAAUGUACCUUUCCAAUUAUCACAUUCAUUUUAUGGGAAGUAGAAUCUCUUUUGCUGCCUAUUUACAUUACAGGAAUCUGCCCCUGACAUGACUCGAUUGGAAUAAGAUUCAACUGCGGUUAUGGGCUGACCUGAAAAUAAAAGAAAUUUUAGCUGAUUUUCGAAUCAAAAGCUGCACUUGGAUGAGAAAAAAGAGCUAAUUCUAACUAGUACAACGAAUUCCAUAACGAGUUCAUCCCAGUAGUUGAACAUUUUUAACUAAUACAGCGAAUUCCUAUAAUACAAGGAAAUUUAAUAAUGAAGAUAAAAAAAAAUUAUACUUAACAAACCUGAAAAUAAUCAAGAGGGUUAAAAAAGAACUAUAGCAGGCAUUGCACCAGUCAUAGAUAAUUUUAAGUUGGUUGCUUUUCCUUUACUUCCAAGAGUUAAUAAAGAUUGAGAAUAAAAACUAUAACGAACUAAAACUAACUUCAAUGACCAGAGAUUAAAAGCUAAUUGAAUGAUUUUUCCUUUUAUAUCAGUUAAUAGAAGCCUUUUAACAACGAAUAAAUUUCUUCAAGAAAUGUAUUAAAGAAAGAAUUGAUGGAAGUAUGAAGUAAAAAUUGGUUGUGGAAUCUGAACUCUCACUUUAGCAAAAGUUUGAAUAAUCUAAAACAUGUGAUUGGGUUAAAAUAUUACGGAUACCAUCCCAUUUUACUGGACCUCCAUUAAUUCUCAAUACCCAGGAAAAGAGAACAAAGUUUUUCCUACACUCUGUCAUGGCAAUAGUCUUAAAUUCGUUGCUACUUUUAUCUCAGAAUGCUGCCAGUCACAAACACACUCGCGCACUCAACCGUUUUCACAUAAACUACAAAAGAACAGGACAACCUUCCCAAAACAUUGAACAAGUUUAAACAGAGGUUUAAAGGAAUCAUAUCAAUUGCUGAUUAUAUAGGAGUAUGGGAAAUUCAAAAUUUUUCCCUUCGUUACCAUCUGUUGACUUCUACCUGGUUUCCCAUUCUGGAUGCAGAGUCUUUACUAACUCGGAGCCUCCAAGGUGGAGUAGUAAAGAAGCAAAUCUAACUAGACAAUAGAAGAGACAAAGCAAAGCUGACAAAAACAUUUAAAUUUAAAGCUCGCAAAAACAUUUAAAGCUCGAGCUCUUCCCUUCGCAAACAGGAAGCAAAACUGUCGGUGGUUUUCUUUUUCUUUCUUCUUUUUUUUUCCAACUACUACCAGUAUUUGUGUCGUAAUCACCUUCAUUGCUACUGUUUUGCAGCAGAAAACCAUUUCCGGGCUUGUUGCUACUGCUAAUUUAGUAAAAGAAAACCAUUGCUACUCUAACUUAGUAAAUAUCUUUUGCCGGAAGCGUACAGAUUAUGAACCCUAGUUAUGCGCCUAUUUUGCUAAGAUUUAUUCAGUGAAUCAUACUCCAGAGAUCACAGAAUUUAAGCCAAACCUUAUAAAAUGAAAAUGACGAGGUUGCGACGAAGCUGGGACCAGCCAAAUUACUUAAGGAUAACAUCUUACCUGCUGCACGACUGCACCUGCUUCAAGAUCCAAGGAUUCCAAGCUGCCGGUCGCCGCACGCCUGCACCGAGCCACCGACUGCACAAUCCAAAUGGGUGGAGUAGCAACAACAAAAUGAAACGGCUGGAGCUGGACGGCUGGAGCUAGCAACCCAAAUGGGUUUGAUUUGAAAUUGGAAUUAGGGAUUGAGGUGAGGAAUGGGGAUUAAGGAAUAGGUAAUUAGGGACAGCCGUGCACUGAGGUGAGGAAGAAGAAAGAAGACGGCGUUUUUGGACAAAGAUUGAAUUGAAGCUCUCGACGGCUUGACCUAAUUAGAGUUUGAUACUUUGAUAUGUGAAUUUUUUUUUUUAAGGAAUUAUCUGGAAAGACAAGAAUACCCCAAUUAUAUUUUAAAUUUUAAUAGGUAAAACAUGUAAUUAAGCUUACAACUAUAUAUAUCUAAGUAAUUUUACAAAUAUAAAAUUAUAUAUAUUUAAAUAUACCUUAAGCUCGAAAAGCUCGCGAACCUAUCGAACAUAGCAUUUCUAGGCUCGAAUUCAAUUCGUUGAAAUAUUCGAAUAGUUUGAGAUCGACUCGAGCUCGAUUUUAUCGAACUCGAGCCGAUCUUUUGCUUGAACUGCUCGCGAGCAGCUCGAUUCGUUGACACCCCUAGGUGGGACAUAACUCAACCUUUCCAGAACUAAGGGAACUAGAAGCUACAUGGCUGCUGGAUGGGUUUUCAAUCUUCUCAUAACCUCAAAAGUUGAUGUUUAUAGUUAUGGAGUCAUUGUGCAGGAAUUGUUAACCGGAUGAUGCCCAGUUGGAGGCCAUUUUAUGGAGGAAAAAACCAAUGUGAUGGAGCCAAAGAGACUAGUUGCAUGGGUGAAGGAGAAAAUACACGAAAGUAAUGGAAGAACAUCAUUGAUAGCAAAAAUUGCAGAGCCUACCAUAAAUUCUGAAUUCGAUGUGGCAAGUAUGGAAAUUCUAGUUAGAGUUGCUCUCCAGUGUCUGGAGGAAGUCAAAGAUGCAAGGCCAACAAUGAGCCAAUUGGUGGACAAGUUGCUCCAUCAAAAAAUCGAGGAAUAUUAAGAUGCAGUUCAUGUGCUCUUCAGAUGCACACCAACAACAACAAUCAAGUAGUUAGACUAAAUGGCUCAGUCUUGAAUUGCUGACUAGUAUGUGUGUUCUGAUUAGAUAUUUUCUGGUCCUGUAAUUUACAAGUUUCCACCAUAUUAUUGUGAAUGAAACAUUAAAGUAAGACAUAUUUGUCUUCCAAUGAAUUCAAGGUAAAUGCUAAUUUACCUUAAAUUACCACAUACUCCUCUUAUUCUUCAAUAAUAUUCAUAUAAACACCUUAUAGUUUUACAUAUGGUGUAAAAUGAGUAGAAAACACCUCUACUUAACCCAAGAGUGAAAUAAAUAAAGAUGCUUUUUAAAAUGUGUUUGACUUUAAAUUCAUGGAAACUAAGGACACGUAAUUGGUACUUCUCCUCCUAAACAUAGAUUGGAAGUCAAUUUGUGUAAGAAAAGAUGGGAAAAUUGAUUCAUAGAAUUUAAUUCAUUAUCGUUGCAUAAAGUUCUCUUUUCUGUCUCUCUCUCUACCAAACUGUGUAUUGCAUAUAGAUAACAUAGUUUAAUAAGUGAUACCAAGUCAUUUCUCCUCAAUAUCCAGGAAUAUAGAGUUCAAUAGAUUCAGAGACAGGCCAAUGAAAUGGCACAUUAUCUAGUCGGUAUAUGAGUGAAUUACCAGUGGAGUGGUUUGAGGCAAUGCCUUCCUGUAUUAACGCUAUGUUCCAUGGGGAUUUGACUCAUUUGGAGUGAUAGGAAAAAAUGUUUUUGGGAAGAAGGUUGAAUUGGGUAAAAAAGUGAAAAGAGUUAUAAGUAGGAGAUAUUGAAUUCAAGAUCUUUCAUUUAAAAAAAUGAAGUGUUUAUAAAUUAAAAAAAUGGUUAUGAUUCCCUAUUUGCAUAAACAUAGGACAAAGAGUAGGUUUUUUGUCCUUUUUUGAGGACUAUUCAUCAUUUUCCUUUUUUCAAUCAAAUUUCAAUGGAUCUAUAAAUAAAUGCAAACACUUAAUGCACCAGUUAAAAAAUAAUGUGUUCCUUGAAGGAGAAAGGUAGGAUUUAAAAAGGGCAAGGGAGAUUUAAACACCAAAAUGUAAUUGUCAAAUACCAUCUUAAUUAUAGUGGUUUAAAUAUUAUCAUUGCAAAAUUUAUUUUGUCAAAAAAUUAUACUUUAUUAAAUUAGAAUUAAUCAAGUAAAUAAAGUUUCCAAACUAUAAUACAAAAGUGAUCCCUUAUUUUCAUUUUUAAAGUUUAGCAGGAAUCUAUUCUACAUUUAUGAUCUCCACUCAAUUCAAUUACAUUAUGUUUUCCAUAAUAUAAUAUAACAUAAAAUAUUAUAUAUUGCAUAUGAGGAAUGUACAUAUAAUUGUAUUUUUUUUCUUUUUGAUGCUCUUCAAUUUAUAUGCAUAUAAGUAUGCUAGUUUAAAGCCAUAAUUUGACCAUUUUCAUAGUGUUAUAUAUUGUCUAAACUUGUUGAUAUUGUUGUCACAUUUUGUUGGUAAAAAUAUGUGUAUCACCCAAUCACAGAUGAAUUUAUAUUCACGAUGUGAUUAUGAUGUGAUUUAUUCUAAAGUGUUCUUUAGUCAUUGGCUCCACCUUUGCUCAUACAAAGCACCAUGAAUAUCAAUACAAUACUGAUUAAAAUGAUUUUUUUAAUUAUUUUAACUCAACAAUUAUAAUGUAUUAUUUAAACGAGUUUAUUUAAAAAAAAGAAAUUAAGUUAUUCAAAUUUUUGAGAUGGAUAGAGAGAAUAAAAAAUUUUACAUGUUAGAUAUCAUUAGGAAUAGAAAUUUCUGAUCCAUAAUUAUGCACGUCCCUACGUACAUCGACAAGAAAUAGAACACAAUCCUUUGACUUGACAAGAAAUAGAACACAAUCCUUUGACUUGAUAUUUUACGAGUGUUUCAGUCUUAUCCCAGUCAUUUUCCCAACUAUGUCCCAAAUAUUAUCAAAAGCAUAGGAAUCAAAAACUAAAUCCAUUCCACCAUAGGUUAUGACAAGAGUCAUUCAUGUCAUGUCAGUCCAUUUUAUGUUUAGGGCAUGCUUAGGAAAUAUUAUUAACAUAUUAUACAGGUCUGUGCAAUUCUUGAUGGAGAAGGGUAUGCUGAUAAAGUGGUGGUACCAGCUAGUCAGGUCUUUGAGGUUCUUGAUUCUAUUUCUCUCAAAGAUGCUGCGUGUUUUCUCAAUGUUGGUUGUACUAUUUGGCGGGCCUUUUCCAAGGGCAACAUAGAAUAAGGAAAAACCAUAUUGGUAAUUGAGCAAUUAGCAUUGUCACGAAAUGUACUGCUUUAAACUUGUUAUGUUAUUAGUGAAUUUUUAAUUCCAUCAUGAGAAAUGUAACUUUGGCUUAAGUGAUUUUGGACCUAUUCUUUUUCUCUUUCCCGAGAAAAAUAUUUCAAAUAGGGCAAAAUGCCCCAUUGACCUUCAAAUUAUUAUAAAAUUCAACUUUUAACCCUCGAACUAUUAACUGAUAAGUUUUAGCCCUCCAACUAAUUAAAGCAUAUAAUUCUAGACUUUUGACAACUUGAACCGUUAUAUCUAACAAAGAUAAAGGAUUCAUAAGAUACUAGUGGCCCUCAAACUAUUACAAAGUUCAACUUUUAACCCUCAAAUUAUUCAUUAGUAAGUUUUAACCCUCUAACUAAUUCAAAAGUAUAAUUCUACUCUUUCAUGAUUUGCACUCUCAAACUAUUACAAAGUAAACCAAGACUUGUUAAAAUAUUCUCAGAAAAUGAAUGGUAUGCUAGAUUUAUGUCAUCAAGAGAAGCACAUAAACCCAAUGAAUUUGGAAUAAUACCAAAAAUGUGUUAAAUUCAAGUGAAGACAACUCAAUUAAUUUAAAUUACCUAUCCUUACUGAAAUUUCUCUAUUCAGGGUUUUGGAUUUUAGGAUUUCAAUUGAUUUUGAUCAUGCAUAAUUUCAAAAACCACCCUGAGGUUUCUGACAAUUAUACAAAAAUACCUUCCAAUAUCAAAAAUUACACUGCCCUCCUUUCAUUUUGAUGUGACCAGAUGUCAUAUUCAAUAGUAAUAAAGUGACUAAAAUACCCUCACAAAAUCUGUCCCUAAAAUACUAGAAAUAUGGGAAAAAUAUAAGUCUUCCAAGUUUAGUAUUUUUAUAUGCAAUUUGACACUAUUAAGUGUAUGACCUUGUUGAGAUGCUUUUUUUUUGCCUUGGAUUGGUUAUUAUGGGUAUUCAACCAAUUUGAAGCGUAUGACCUUGUUAUUUAUCAUAUUUAAUAUUUGUUUUAGUUUAUUUAGUUUAUAGUGCUUUGUACAUCUAGAAUCUUUGAUUUUGAAGCAUAAUAAAUGAACUCCUAAAUAUUAUAGAUGAAUUUAAAUCCACCAUUUCGCGGCCUUCUGAUUCAACCACUAUAUAACUAUCAAAGGCUCAACUUUUAUUGGUACAUUCUUAUAAUUUUAUCCAUAUUUCAAAUGGACUUUACAAUCUCAAUGAAAAUGAAUAUAGCUAGUAAACUCAUGUUCAUUAUUAUCAGUAUUUGGAUAGGUGACAUUACAUUGUUGCCAAUGCUUUUUGAUUUUUGAACUUGCGUUGGAUCUUCUCGUCUUCGACUGCUUACUUCUUUAGGUUCGAUGCCAUCAAACUACUCGAAAAUUUUAAUUAUUGCUUUGCAUUAACACCCAUAGUUUCUGUUUUUGAUCCUCAAUAAUAUGCUUGCAUGAAAUGAGCUUUGGUGAUAGUUUGAUGAAAACAUGUUUCUCUGGUUGCCUUUGUAUUCAGUUGAAAUUGGCCUUUAUUUUUACCUUUUUCAUCAGCAUUUUAUGCUAUAUAUUGUCCACAAAGUACCGUUGCACUUCCAACGGUUGUUGUAGGACUUUACUAUCCAGAAUAUUGAUUUGUUUAAUGUUAUUUUCAUGUCCUAAGUGGAUCAACUUGGUGCCAAUUUUUCUUCUUUUUUUAUUGCCAUUUUUCUUGUCCAAAAUUUUAACUCAUUUUCUAGUAAGUUCAAUGAGGACACACAUGGAAUAUAAUUUGUUUAACAAGACUGAUUCAUUUCUUUUAAGAUUAAUUUUUGUAACAUGAAUUUAGUUUAUUAUCAAAUAUGUCAAUCAAGGGAAAAGUAGUGUAAUUUUUUAUAUUGGAGGUAUUUGUGUAAUUGUCAAAAAUCUCAGGGGAAAUUUCUUAAAUCAUCCCUUUUGGUCAAAUUCAAUGAUUGGAGAUUUGGUAAAUUAAUUUGUGAGUCAAAUGGGGUAAAACAACUUUACCCUAACAUAUGUCUUGUGAAGACAAAACACCCCCCACAGGGAGUGGACCCUACAGACUAUUCCCCACCCUCCACAACCGCCAGACCAAGUCCUGGAGGGCAUUUGAAGGCCACUGUUGUGCAUGUCAUGCUAUUUUUGUUAAACAUAACGACUGAAGUUGACAAAAGGACUAAAAUUAUAUAUUUUAAUUAAUUAAAGGGUUUAAACUUAUCAAUUAAUAGUUAAAGGGUCAAAAAUUAAAUUUUAUACUAGUUUGAGGGACAUUGGGAUAUUUUGCCCUUUCUAAUAUACAUUUUUGUUUGUUACUAUUGUUUGUUUAAAAGCUAUUAUGAGUUAAUAUCACUGCAGUUCAAAUUGUGUGUCCUGCCAUCUUUCAAGUUUCUGCAUUUGUAUAUAUUUUUUGGAGUAUGUCAUAUUUGGUAUAAAAUGGUCUUUAGUUAAUAAAGUUUGAUAUGCUUAUCAUUGAUAGUAAUGCAAAAUGAUGUCAGUGUGUAACUUUUCAGAGACAUGAAACUUGUGGUUAUUAUGCAGUAUUUGCCAUACAAAUGGUGAGACUUAAGGGGGAUAUGGUUUUGUGUGCUACAGGUUUGCUUUAAGUUUUACCUGCAAAAGUUUGUUUAAGGCCAUAGAUUGGAUUCAAAAAUGCUACUGGGAUAAUCAAUUUUUCCUAUGUUGCAAAUGUCUUUGUAAAAAAUGAUGAAAAUAGUAAGUUUUACAUGGAGUUAGGUACCUAUAACUGUAUAACUUGAAGGAUAACGGUUUUCCUACUCAAGUGAAGAAACUAACAUCAGACAAAGGUAUAGCUUAUAGUGUGAUUGACUGGAGUUCCUACUCUUUGUACUAGUGUCUUCUUCUUUGAUGCAUUAAUUGUCAUAUCAGCUAUUUAGUCUUUCCAAUUACCUACAUAUUUAUUCCCAUCCAUUUUAUCAAAUUCAUCACACCACAUGCAGCCACCACAACCGUCAUUCCAAAACCCAAAAAAACUUAGUCAGGGCCACUUCAAACCCAAGUUCUGUGCAUUUUCAAAACUCACACACCCAUUGUUUCAAAGACACCUUGUCAUGGUAAUUGCCAUCUUGAUCAAAAUAUGAAAAUAUUAUAAACUUGGUUAAUAUCGGCCUCUGGCCAUAUGUGCUGGUAAUUAUCAUAGUUGUGCUUGGGUAGGAGUUCAACAAUUUGUUGUUGGGCACGAUGGCAAAUGACUAAGAACUGACAUGCAUGUCUCUGGUUGUAGCCUAUGAUGGAUUGGAUUUAGUUUAUACUUUCUAUGCUUGCUCAUAAUAUUUGGGGCGCAUUUGGGAUCUCUAAUUGAAGGAGAAGGGUUGGGGUAGGAUUGAAACAUUCUUGUAAAAUCUUUGAUGAUAGCGGCUCUAAUGAUGCUUUCUACUUCCUAUCGAUGAUGGGCGUGUCUUGUUUUCUACUUCCUAUCAACGAUGGACGUGCAUAAUCAUGGAUCAAAAAUGUGUUUUUGCAUCCCAAGUGAAAUUGGCAUGCAAAUAGUCAGAAAUCUUUUGUUAUCUCACUAACCUUCAACUUCAUUAGAUAAGCUUACCACGAUUUAGGCUUAUCAAAUCGACAAACCCCCAACCUAUCAACAGUAUGUAUUACAUAAUUCGCCCCAACUAAUCUUAACAAACAUACAAACAUAUGAAAAAAAUACACAUGCAUUAACAAAUAUAUUGUUUCUUAUUUAUUAUACACUUUGAUAAGUUGUAUAAUAAAUCUUAUUUAUUAUUGUCAAAUGUAUAGGAUCUCAUGCAUAAGUUGCAACAUGGAUGAUGAUAUUUGGAUGUUUUGUGUUUUAUGGAGUGAAACACAUAUUUUCUACCAAUAAAGUGUGACAACAAUAUCUACUAAUUUAGACAAUACAUAACAAAUACUUAUUUUUAUACAUGUAAGGUGGUUGAUAUUAAAUUGAAAUAUGCUAAAAAAAAUACAAUUAUAUGUACGUUUAUGAUAUUUAUUGUAUUAACUUUUAUCAUGUAUUAUAAAAUAUAGAACAUAAUGUAGUUGUAUCAAUUGAAGACUAUAAAUCACAAAUGCAGAACAGAUUCCUAUUUAACUCUAAAAAUAGAAAAUAAGGGACUACUUCCUAUUAUAGCUUAAAAACUUUAUUUAUUCAAUUGGCCUUAAUUUAAUAAUAUUGAAUUUAUUUAAAUUUUUUGACAGUUUGUAAUGAUGAUUUCUAAACCACUAUAAAUAAUAUGGUCUUUGACAAGUAAGUUAUGAUAUUUGUUUGGGAUUUAUGUAUAGAUCUAUUAAAAAUUGAUUUAAAAGGAAAAUGAUGACAGAUCCAUAAAAAAGAAUAAAAAUUCUACUCUUUGUCCUUUGUUUUUGUAAAUGGAGAAUAUAACCAGUUAUAUGUGCUCUAAACAGCUUGGUAAAAAGAACCAAAAGAACUUUAGACAAUGAAGAGUACAAUUAUGAAUUAAAUUUUGAAUUAAUUAUUUCUUUUUUCUUACACUAAUUGACUUCCUAUCUAUGUUUAGGAGGAGAAAUACCCAUGUCUUCCUAGUUUCUGUAAAUAUUUAGAGUCAAACACAUUCUAAAAGGCAUCUUUAUUCAUAUCACCAGGGGUUAAGUAGAGGUAUUUCCUUAAACAUUUUACAUGUUAUAUAAAUCUACAAGGUGGAAAGUUUAUAGGGAAGUUAUUGAACAAUAGGAGGAUUAUGCGGUAUUUUAAGGAAAUUGCUAUUUACGUUAAAAUCAUUGAAUAACAAAUAUUUCGUCCACAAUCAUAAAUAGAAAAUAUCUGACUUUAACACACAUACUAACAGUAAUUCAAGAUGAUUGCAACUGAUUGAAGAGCAUAUGAAAUGCAUUCUAACAUUCGUCACUUUCUUGAUGGAGUAACUUGUCAACUACGUAGCUCAUUGUUGGUCCUGCAUCUAGGUCUUCCCCUAUGAGUUGGAGAGUAACUCGAACUAGAACUUCAAUAUUUGUCAUAACGUUCAUGGCAAGGUUUGCAAUUUUUACAAUCACUGUUGGUGAUGUUCUUCCAUUAGUUUCAAGCAUCUUAUCUUUCACCCAUGUGACGUGAUCGACACUGGAGUAAUUAGUGCUAUUCUAUUCUGAGCUAAAGACUUAUUACUAACGUGAUUGCAUGGGUAAUUAGUCCUAUUUUAAUGGUGUUUAUGUAACGCCCCGAGGCAGAAGAAAAGGAAAAAUUUCUGGUGAAUAGAGUUUUGUGAGGAAUCCGGCCCACAUAAAUCUGGAAGAAAUUCGGUCCACAUAAAGAGCUUAAAGAGCCAGCUCUUUAAGGCUUUCCGAUAAGGCCCAAUAAGUACUAAAAUACCCUUUUAUUUGAAAAUUAUUAUUUAUUAAAGCCCACUACCCAAUUAUUUCACACAAGUGUAAAUAAACCUAGAAAAUAGGGUUUUACACUUCGGUUUCAAGUUUGGAGCGAAAUUAGGGUUUUCGCGAUUUUUAACCGGAUGAAUUUUCGGUACAGAGUAAGGAUUAAUUUUGGGGAUUAAAAGUAACUUUUAAGUGAGAAAUAAUAUGUGACUAGUGGCAAUGAUAUAAGGUUAGUGAAUUGGAAGUAAAACCCUAAUACGUGAGUUUUUAAGAAAAACGGCGCGAACCGGCGGGUCCCGCGCAUUACCGAUUGAACGCACUGCUUGACCACCAUUUUUCUUACCCAACAAGUUUGUUGACUUUUGUACAUAAUAUCUUCUUAAAUUGCAGCAAGGUUGACCGAAAUUAGUGGCCAAGAAAGGCAAGAAAGAAAGAGAAAAAAAAGAGGUGGUGGUGGUGACACUUGUCACCACCUCAUGGCUUCUUAACCAAGACCAUUACUAUCCAUUUAACUCCAACACUUAGCCAAUUUCUUCUUCAUUUCUGCUGGUGCUGGCCGUGAGAAGCAAGAAGAAAAACCCAAAGGAAAACAUUCCAUUUCAUCUUCAAAUCCAACAACUUAGGAAGAAAUCCAACAAAGUAAACCGAUUAAACUUGUUCUUGAGUGACUAGCUAGUGGCUUGUGGUGUGAUUUUUGAAGGAGAAAGCUUGGGCUACUUGUAGUGACUUCUAUUCAAGGUAAGAGAGUUUAUCUCUCUAAGUUUUGCUUUCAAAUUUGUUAAAGUAAGCUUGGCAACUUGAUUUUAUGGUGAGAUUAUGGAUGAUUAGCAUGUUUUAGAAGUUUUCCCCAAUUUAUUUGAUGAACUAGGGCUUAUGGAAAUUCUGCCCAAAUUAUUAUAUGAUGCUCAUAUGUUGCAAUUGAGGUUUUAUAAGGUGUUGUGGUAGUGAUUAGACCAAGAAAUUAAGGAAAGUUGCACUAGAAACUCAAAAUUCCAAAAUCUGGAAAAUUGUCUCAACAUUCUGUCUGAAUUUUUAUCUAUAUGUUAGAGGCUGUUUUGGCCUUAGGUCAAAGAAGAAAAGUUGUAGAGAAUGGCAUUUUAUAGGUACCUACAAAAUUUCAGCUCAAUCGGAGCAACGUAGGAUGUGAAAAGUCCAAAAUACCCCUACUGUUCUAAGUAUUUCCCAGCAGUCCGUUUCUUCAGUUCAGUCCAGUUUAUCACGAUUUUUGACCAGGAUCCAUUCUGAAUUAGCUCUGGGCCAAAACAUGAAAGUUGUAGUGUUCUGAAGUAGCUUUAAAAUGCCUCUAAGAACACAUGAUUUGGACUUGUGUAUACUGAGUUAUGACCAUUACAGUGUUCUGCGUUUAAACAGCCGACGAAUUGGUUUCUGGUUUAGUAUUUUGAGAAUUUGACCAAGUUACACUAGAAACUGGACUAAGUGACCUUCAUGAACAUUGUAGCCCUGUGUCUUAGCUUCGAAACGGCAUAGGUUGCACCUCAAUCCGAUAAGCGUAGCCUCGGAUAUGUUAUUUCCGCUUUCAUACGUCAAAUCUGUUUUGUGCUAGAUUGAAUUUCUGCACUUGCUAUCGUUGUGAAUCUUAUUAUUAUGAUAUUGUGAGCCUAUGGAACGGCUCUUGUCAUGAAUUGCUGAUAUAUGUGAUGUUGGAUUUUGGUUGAGAAAAAUAAUGAAGCCUAAAUAGCUGGAAAAUUAGGUAAAUACAAAGGGCAUGCUGCCCGAAUUUUUACUCGAGAACUAGAAAACUAUAUUUGCAACUUGAGUGAAGGUUAAGUGAUUACCACUUGAACUAGCGAGAACUUUUGCUACUUUGUUAUCGAUGGUUAUACGUUAAAAACCUAAACGAACUUGUACUCUUGAGGAAAAGAUAUAAUGGCCAAUGUAAACUUGUAUUUCCUUGUACUUUUAACUCAAGUAUUGUUUCCAAGUAUAUAUGCUAUAAAAACCUUAUGAUUUGAAAAGCGAGCAAGUGUUUCACGAAUGCCUUUCAAAUGAAUUUCAAUUGGUUGAUUCUUAUGAACGGAACGUUUAAGUUUCAAAUCUUACUUGUGUUUCAAAGUUCUCAAAUUGGAUUUCAAUCGCAGAUCUGGACUCCAAACCUGGAGUAUAAUUGAACGUGACUACGUGAAGCACUAUAGUUUGAGUGAGUGAUCCCUCCACUACUUCUCAAAGAUUACUUUUGACAUGACUCUUGCAUUGAUUGCACAAUUGCAUAUCAUUGUGUUUGUGUGUGUGCCAUGACAUAAUUUGGCUCCAAUGAGUUCCUGGAAAGUCUUGUGCUUAGAACCAAUGUCUCCACUAUUGUUUACACAUUCUUUGGAGCCCGAUGGCUUCUUACUUCUGUUUCACGGUUACUUGAUCUAAACGAGCAUUGGAUAUUUAAGCACAAGAAUUUCACUGGCUCACAUGAGCAAUAAAUGAACAUUUGAUUACUGCAUCAUGACAUCAUAUCAAUGCUUGAUUGUGAAAUAUACUUGGCUGUUCAUUUUACUGGUCACUCGCUGAGCUUCUAGCUCACCCCCUAUUAUCUUCUUCUCCCCACAGGGAUCGAAGUAAAGGAAGAACUUGUUUUUGGAUCUUUGUGUGGCUGGAUGGCGUACAUCUUGUAUAGUUUAGUUUUGGUUUUGGUUUAUGUACUUUUGGGCUGUAUAAAUAUUUGGAAUUGAAUCGGAUGUAAAUCUAUAUUUUAUGCUUAGAACUGGUUUCCGCUUCGCUUAUGAUAUGUAAUUUUGGAGAAUUGGAUGUAUUAUUUGAGUUGUACCUUGUAAUUUACUUGAGGAAUGUAGUAAGUGAGUGAGUCCCGGCGAGAGCUGGGCAGGCGGCCCGCUAAACCCUUUGGUUCGCCUUAGGGGGAGGUGGGGUCGUUACAGUUUAAGCUAAAGACUUUUGAGUCUGUUUAAGCUUUUGAUCAUUUUUCCUUUGGUUUAUUCUAAAUAAAAAUUUAUUUUGUUAUGCUGGUGAUUUAAUGGUGCUUUAUUUGCUUGGUUAGUCAUUCAAUAUUGUCUUUGGCCUGCAUUUCUUGAGAACUGAUUCAAUCAUAUCUUGUUUUGACUGAAAGUGAAAUUUUCCAGAUUGCAAUGCGUAAAAUUGCCUUUUUCCCCUUUUUUAAGAUGGAAGAACUUAAAAAUGACUAUUCAUAGUCCAUCCAACAAUUGAGAUAAUGGUUUUGGUAAAGCUUUCAGCACAUACAUAGCAUGAUGCUCGUAUUUUGACCAUGUAAGUCGAAGUAGUAGAGCUUCUGUAAUUACAUGUUCGCAGAUUAAUAAAUGCUUUUGGUUGUAGUGUACUGUUUGUGCUUUGCACGAUACAUAUUUUAAAGAUAUUUUCUGAAUAUUAUAAAUAUGGGUGCACAUGAAAUGCCUAGCAGUUUAUCCAGUAAUCUAAAUAGAGAAGAUUAAGUAUAAUCCUUAGAGGUUAACAUACUUGGGGUGGGCAGCUUCACCUGGUACUUCUACUUGAGAUGUCUACCCUUGCCAUCCAAACCCUAUUUUCUCAUAUACUCUUCAAUAGUUUUACCAUAAGCUUGCUUUAACAGCUUCCUGCCUGAGGUGAUCUUGGGAAUUAUAUAAACUUGAAAGCCACCUUGUCAUGGCAGCUGGCAUGUUGAGGAAAAUAAGGAAAAAUUAUAAAUUUUUGGUUAAGUUCAGCCGCUAGCCAUAUGUAUUAAUAAUUAUUAUGGUUGGGUUUGGGGUCGGAGUUCGACAAUUUGUCGUUGGCCCUGAUGGCAAACGCUUGAAUCAUCAUAUGAAGUUCUCUAAUGAACAUCUGUGGUGUAAUGUGUUUUUUUUGUGCCUUCUGGGUGUGUUGGUAGUGUUUGCUAUGCAAUUGGUGAUUUCUAGGUUGAAGAAAAACAAAUGGACAAAAACUUUUUCAGUGGUAAAAUGUUUGGCAAAAACUGUCCUAGGGGUUGCUUUCUACUUUCUCGCUAUGUAUCUAGGCGCAUGCAUAGUUGAAGAUCAAAAAUCUUUUCUCUCGCUAGUGAUAAUGACGUGGUCCAUAUGUGCUGGUAAUUAUCAUGGUUGGGUUUGGGUAGGAGUUCAACAAUUUGUUGUUGGGCACGAUGGCAAAUGACUAAGAACUGACAUGCAUGUCUCUGGUUGAAGCCUAUGAUGGAUUGGAUUUAGUUGAUACUUUCUAUGCUUGCUCAUAAUAUUUGGGGCGCAUUUGAAAUCUCUAAUUGAAGGAGAAGGGUUAGGGUAGGAUUGAAACAUUCUUGUAAAAUCUUUGAUGAUAGCGGCUCUAAUGAUUGCUUUCUACUUCCUAUCGAUCAUGGACGUGGCUUGCUUUCUACUUCCUAUCAAUGAUGGACGUGCAUAAUCAUGGAUCAAAAAUAUGUUUUUGCAUCCCAAGUGAAAUUGACAUGCAAAUAGUCAGAAAUCUUUUGUUAUCUCGCUAUCCUUCAACUUCAUUAGAUAAGCUUACCACGAUUUAGGCUUUUCAAAUCGACAAACCCCCAACCUAUCAACAGUAUCUAUUACAUAAUUCCCCCUAACUAAUCUUAACAAACAUACAAAGAUAUGAAAAAAAUACACAUGCAUUAACAAAUAUAUUGUUUCUUAUUUAUUAUACACUCUGAUAUGUUGUAUAAUAGAUCUUAUUUAUUAUUGUCAAAUGUAUAGCAUCUCAUGCAUAAGUUGCAAAAUGGAUGAUGAUAUUUGGAUGUUUUGUGUUUUAUGGAGUGAAACACAUAUUUUCUACCAAUAAAGUGUGACAACAAUAUCUACUAAUUUAGACAAUACAUAACAAAUACUUAUUUAUACACAUGUAAGGUGGUUGAUAUUAAAUUGAAAUAUGCUCAAAAAAAUACAAUUAUAUGUACGUUUAUGAUAUUUAUUGUAUUAACUUUUAUCAUGUAUUAUAAAAUAUAGAACAUAAUGUAGUUGUAUCAAUUGAAGACCAUAAAUCACAAAUGCCGAACAGAUUCCUAUUUAACUCUAAAAAUAGAAAAUAAGGGACUACUUCCUAUUAUAGCUUAAAAACUUUAUUUAUUCAAUUGGCCUUAAUUUAAUAAUAUACAAUUUAUUUAAAUUUUUUGACAGUUUGUAAUGAUGAUUUCUAAACCACUAUAAAUAAUAUGGUCUUUAACAAGUAAGUUAUGAUAUUUGUUUGGCAUUUAUUUAUAGGUCUAUUAAAAAUUGAUUAAAAAGGAAAAUGAUGAUAGAUCCAUAAAAAAGAAUAAAAAUUCUACUCUUUGUCCUUUGUUCUUGUAAAUGGAGAAUAUAACCAGUUAUAUAUGCUCUAAACAGCUUGGUAAAAAGAACCAAAAGAACUUUAGACGAUGAAGAGUACAAUUAUGAAUUAAUUAUUUCUUUCUUUCUUACACAAAUUGACUUCCUAUCUAUGUUUAGGAGGAGAAAUACCCAUGUCUUCCUAGUUUCUGUAAAUAUUUAGAGUCAAACACAUUCUAAAAGGCAUCUUUAUUCAUAUCACCAGGGGUUAAGUAGAGGUAUUUCCUUAAACAUUUUACAUAUUAUAUAAAUCUACAAGGUGGAAAGUUUAUAGGGAAGUUAUUGAACAAUAGGAGGAUUAUGCGGUAUUUUAAGGAAAUUGCUAUUUACGUUAAAAUCAUUGAAUAACAAAUAUUUCGUCCACAAUCAUAAAUAGAAAAUAUCUGACUUUAACACACAUACUAACAGUAAUUCAAGAUGAUUGCAACUGAUUGAAGAGCAUAUGAAAUGCAUUCUAACAUUCGUCACUUUCUUGAUGGAGUAACUUGUCAACUACGUAGCUCAUUGUUGGUCCUGCAUCUAGGUCUUCCCCUGUGAGUUGGAGAGUAACUCGAACUAGAACUUCAAUAUUUGUCAUAACGUUCAUGGCAAGGUUUGCAAUUUUUGCAAUCACUGUUGGUGAUGUUCUUCCAUUAGUUUCAAGCAUCUUAUCUUUCACCCAUGUGACGUGAUCGACACUGGAGUAAUUAGUGCUAUUCUAUUCUGAGCUAAAGACUUAUUACUAACGUGAUUACGUGGGUAAUUAGUCCUAUUUUAUUAAAAGAUUAUGGCUAACAAACAUUUUUUCAUAAAUUUUAUUAAUUUUUUCAAAAAAUUAGUUGUUAGCAUGUGACGGUACGUGACUAGACUUGGAUAGCAAUUAACAAAAAUCAGUCAAUGGGAUUAAUUGUGCUUAAAAAUUGAAAUACUUGGGACCACAUUUACUUUCAUCUAAACUUUAUGAACUAAAACUGCUCAUGCCCUAAACAUUUGAGAUCAAAACCACAAUUCUUUCUAUUAUUCAACAAUAAGAGGAUUGUUUUGUCAUUUAAAGUAAAUUACUAUUUGCCUUAAAUUCAGAAAGAGAAAUAUUUCUUACUUUAAUAUUUUAUUUACAACAGUAAGGUGGAAACAUAUAAAUUAUAUGAACAUCAAAUAUCUAAUUUUAACACACAGCAAUUUAAGAUGAUCACAACUCAUUGAAAAGUAUGUGAGAUGUAUCCUAAUAUUCAUCACUUUCUUGAUGGAGCAACGUGUCCACCACUUGGCUCAUUGUUGGUCUUGCAUCUUUGUCUUCCUCUACGCAUUGGAGAGCAACUUGAACAAGAAUUUCCACCCUUGCCAUAUCAAAUUCAGCAUUUAUGACAGGGUCUACAAUUUUUGCAAUUGCUAUUGGUGAUGCUCUUCCAUUAGCUUCGUGCAUUUUCUCCUUCACCCACGUAACUAGUCUCCUUGGCUCCAUUGCACUGGUGCUUUCCUCCAUAGAAUGGCCUUCAACUGGGCUUCUUCCGGUUAAUAAUUCCAGCACAACAAUUCCAUAACUAUAAACAUCAACUUUGGAGGUUAUGGGUAGAUUGAAAACCCAUUCAGGGGCCAUGUAGCCUCUAAUUCCCCUUAUCCUAGAAAACGUUGAUUUAUCUGUCCCACCUCUAUUCAAUAGUUUGGACAGGCCAAAAUCUGCCACCUUCGGCUGGUAAUUCGAAUCUAGGAGUAUGUUCUGAGGCUUCACAUCACAGUGCAAAACCCACUCUAAGCACUCUUCAUGCAAGUAAGAAAGUCCUUUGGCUGUACCAAGAGCAAUAUCAUACCUCUUUUUCCAAUCAAGUCUGCCAGAAUGCAAAUUUUUUGCUAGAGAACCAUGCUCCAUGUACUCAUAAACCAAUAGCCUGUGCUUACCUUCAACACAAUAUCCCCAUAUCUCAAUCAAAUUCAUAUGGUUCAACUUGCCAAUAGUACUCAACUCUGCAAGAAAUUCGGCUUCUCCCUGGUUGGCUUCAUUGAGACACUUUAUGGCAGCAACUCGAUUAUCUGUCAACACGCCUUUAUACACAAUGCCUCCCCCUCCUUGUCCUAUUUCUGCGCUGAAGUUUUUUGAUGCUUUUUUCAACUCAGCAAAAGUGAAUUUCCUGAAUCCUGUUGCAACCUGAGUGUAACCCUGUAUUCUUGCACUAGGUCCUCGUCGGGUUUUGAACAAGUAAGUGAAGAAACAGAUGAUCUCAAAAGUCCCAACUGCCAAAGUGCACCGCAAGGAUGACUUUACCCACCCAUGUUGACCUUUUUUCUGGUAUGCUCGGCCGAGUGAAGCAGCAUCGACUGUGCACUUUAUGUUGGUUUGUUGAAGAGGCUUUUGAUCAAAUGAGGUUAUAAUAGAUUGGGGCAAUCUUAGAUAAAUUGGGAAAUCAAAACCACUUGAACGAUACCCAUUGAACAAACUGGCCUUAGGGUAACAAUUAUAAUAGCCUUUAUCUUUAUCAAAUUUGAAUUGGAAGCCUUUACAACUGCAAUAGUUGAGGCAUAAAUUUUGACAAUUAUCAAGCGUGGAAUUACUAAAGAAACCAAUAUCAUAGCCAUAAAAUUCAACAUUUUGGAGAAGAAGAAAACCUGAUGCAUUACUAUCAUUGUAUGGCAGUUGGAAAUCUGGUUCGCAUCCAUAAGCCCAAUCUUUCUGGCUUUUGAUUUUGUAUCCAGGUGCACAAGUGCAUUUUCUUCCGGUCUCAUGGGCGUAAGUGCACAAACUAUUUUCUCCACAUAUCCCAUGAACUGUGCAUGGUUGCAGUGUGGAUUGCCACGUAACUUUCCAAUUCCGACUUGCCAUAUCAAGACUGUAGACCCGGACAUUGCCAUCAAAAUCCACGGUCAAUCUUCUUUGUAUGCCUGGACCAUAAUCAACAGUAAUAAUGUCAAACUGAUCUGAUGACUGGAAUCUCCCCCAUGAAUCAAGAGUGGCAACCUUACUGUUGUUAUAAGGGUACCUCCCGUUGUCCCAACUAUGUUUCCAUGGGUCAGGCCAUGAAAUACCUGCUGUUUGAGGACCCUGGUACAAUAGGCUAAGGACGUUAUCAUCACCAAAGUAUAACUUGUAGAAUCCAGAAGAAUAAUUCGUCAGGCUUCGGGAAGAUAUGAGAACAGAGUUUUGGGUGAGCGACUGCCCUGGAAGAAGCGUGUUUGUUGGGGAGUUAAAGCUUUGCCAAAGAUUUCCGCCCUCUAUAUUGCUCAGCACAAGAUUGCCAUUGUCAUGGAGUUGCAAUUGAAGAGAAGAGUUUGAUUGCGUGCUACUUGUCCAAACAGUAAACUGUCCUGCAUCUGUCAGCACAAGACUGCCAGACUUGAGCAGGGAAAGCCUGGAAUUUUUUCCAUUAACCGGUCGGUCCCUAUUGGCCAUCCAGACAAUGGUGUAAUUUCCAUGAUCAUAUAGCUCAGUAAACCAUAUACUAAAGCAAUACGCAUUCUCGCCAACACUGAAAAAUCCCGCAGUGAAAUUUCCAUGCGGUUUUGAAAUCAGAACAUCUUUAGAAGAAAGUGAUGAUCCUGUAGUCAAACUAUCAGUGCUUUUCGAGGAUGAUACAAAUGCUAAUAACAAAGCUAAAACAGAAAUUAAGAUAGCAUUAAAGAAUAGACCCAUUGGAGUUGGAGAAGUGUAAUUUUGCAAGUACAUGCAUGCAAACUUCUUGUGGACAAACAUGGCAGAAAGUAGAGGAAUAUAUAGAUAGUAUGAGUGGUCUCUCGUAAGACAUGACUUCUUGACUUCUUGUGGUUUGUGGAACUACUUUUUGCAUAUUGGAAGUCAAGCCACUUUGAUAGUAUGAGUGGUAUCUCGUAAGACAUGACUUCUUGACUUCUUGUGGUUUGUGGAAUUACUUGUUGCAGAUUGGAAGUCAAACCACUUUGCUUUUUAAUUUUCUCAGGAGUUUGGCUUUGAUUAGACUGGUGUAGCUGGGAAUCAUCGCUCAAAUGUAAACUAGAGAUGCACACUUCCAGUUAUGGAGAUAAUUUGCUCGAGUUUUUUUUUCCUGUAUACUUACUAGAACUAUGACACUUUAUUUCUUAGAGGCUUGUUAAAAUCCUCAAAUCUGGUGAUAGAGAUAGAACAUACAACGAAAAGCCUAAUAUACACAGAACACUCUCUUUUCGUUUUUCUUUUUUGUCAAUUCCUGAUUUGGACUGGAAACAUUUUCAUAUCCUAGUCACCAGCUCGUCCCCCUCGGUAAGUAUCCUUUCAUUUAAUUGGGUGGUUCAUCCCAACUUCCAUGCAAGUCUCUUUAAACUCCCUUCAUAGACUAAGAAUAAGAGUAAGUUGGAUAAUUGUCAUUACAAACCAACCACUUCUAGAAUAGUUGAUCACUAAAAGAGUUUCAAUGCUCUACUUGGAUGUAAGACAAUGAAUCAAAUCUUUUACCCUACAUUCUAACAUUCAAGCUUUCCUGGAAAUGUUUAUUUAGCAGGUGCAUGGGCGUCCCGUCUAAACUGGGGAUGGUUCACCGGACUCCCCUAAAAAAAAAAUCUAAUUGGGUUGAGGCCGGAGGGGAUUGGGUCACUGGUUUCUCUAUAUGUUUUCAGAAUAAAAAGAAGUAAAUACUGUGUUAACCUUGGGGAGCCCACUACUUACAGCCCAUUUGUCCCCAACAUCUAACCUUUGGUGAUCAAUUAUUAAUGUGAUAAAUUUGCAUCCCCAGCUACCUCAUGUCUAUUGUCCGCAAUAUGUGUCUGUCGGGCAAUCACGUGUCCUUAACUAUGCCCUCCCUUUCUUCACUUCCAAAGAGUUCUCCUUGUAUUGGAAAAAGAAAAAGAUUUAGACCCUCUUUGAUAAUCUAAUGUCACAUUUAAAUUUAAUGAAUUCAAAUUUUAAUAUAUUCAGACUCAUUUGAUAGCAAAUGACACUGAAUUUUCUAGACAAAACUUGCUCUCAAAAUUAAGUGAUAAACUAUUCACUUAUUACUGAAUGUGAUAUAUACUCAAAUAUAUUAGAUUUAACACUUGACAAUUCAAUAAUUCAAUAAAUUCAACUUUCAAAUUUUAAAUUUUAGAUUUCAAACUUCAGUUUUUAAAUUUCAAUUUUAUCAAACGCACCCUUAAUAACCAUUAAUCCCAGAAACCCAACUCCGGUAGGCAACCGUGAGGUCCCGAUUCAGUCUUCCCUUUUUACUUGUAAAGUCUAGAGUUUCUCCUUCAUUCAUGUUACAAAAAAAAAAAAAAAAGGAAAAAAAAGGAGGAAGUUAACAUCCAUUAUUCCGUUUGCAUCUCUCUGAAUUUUCUACAGGUAAUAUUGUACAGCUGCGAGUUCUAGAACUACGAAUGGGAUGCAUCAAUUUUAACCGAAAUUAUUUUGUCUCCCAUAAGGAAGAUUUCAUGGCAUUUGGCCUUCUUUCAGACCUAAAAUUAAGGGGGUAAAAAAAAUUUCAUGGCCUGAAAAUUGAAGCCUAUGCAAUCCUAUCUUAUGCCGACUUUGAUGAGGUCCCAUCGGGUGUUUCACACUUUCUUCGUAAAGAUUUGCGCUUCACUUAAACGUCCUUGGGAAAGGUAAUAGAAUUAGUUUAUUUGAUUCAAUUCUUCGGCAAAAAUACUUCAGGCUAUCCCCUUUCACGCAUUUACGACAUGUAUAUUGAGUAUAAAUUCAUUGAAUUUGACCGAAAUGAAGGAUUGUGGGAUUUUUUUUUUCCUUUUUUUUGUGUGGGAGGGGACGGUUGUGUCCAUGUUGCUUCAUUUUUUCGUUUCUAUAGAUAUCGAGAUUUGACUGAUGUAAUUGAUUUUUUCAAUCGUCAUAACCACAUUAAAAAAUCAGGUCAACAAAAAAUCCCUAUUAUUGCACCCGCCCUCAUUUUCAAUUGAAUCCAUCCAACCCCUAUUGUUGUUGCCUUUUUCUCAAUUAAAGAAUAUCAAGGUUGCAUAGUGUGCUGAACAAUUUCCAGCAAUUCGUUAAUAAAUUUUGUUAUUUUUUAAUAAAAGAACUAAGUUUUUGCCAUGUGAGACGUAUAUGUUGCCAGAAAAGGAUAAAUACGCCCUCGAUGAAAUUAAUGAUUGGGUCGGGAACAUGUAUUGUCGUACAUUGAAACGAAAAAUACGUACCCAGUUAACAAUUUGUGAACACAAAAAAAAAAAAAGUGAGCUAAGUAUGCUCUCAUGUGUUAUUUCUCAAUCGAAAUUAAAAAAAAAAACUUCUUUUAUUCAGUGUUUAUUUGGAUUUCUAUGCUAAGGGCACAUGUCACAUGGUGAGAUCAUAUUUAAUUUCGCUACUUAAAGGGUGAAUUGAACCAAUUGAACAAAUUAGAGAGCAUAGUGAGAAAUCGACAUUCUUGGCGAGGGUAAGUUGCAAUUAACCCAUUGCCGUUUCAAAUAUUCCUCUUAUUAGAAGCAAGUGAUUACUACGAUAUUCCAAUUGCAUCAGCGUAUGAAAAGUCAAUCACAUACUGCACACGCUAAUUGUUCAAAAGUCCUACAUUUUGUCUUCAAACGUUUUACCGAAAUGCAGUUAAUGUGAUAAAUUUGCUUGAGGUUGUCGAAGAUAAGCACAGUUACAAUAUAGACAUAUGAAAAAAAAACACUAUUGAAAACAUAUUAUUACUAAGUACAACAUUCUUUAACAUUUUUCACCAAAAAAAAUGUUAAAUAAAUAAAUAAGUAAUCAAAAAGAUAUUCCUGUUAUAAAUUUUGAUUUAUGCAUCUAUAUCUUUUUUCCGUAUGAUAAAAACAUGUCUUCUUUGUUUAACAAAUUGACUACUGCAUCUAAUUCUUGUUCUCCAUUCACUGCUCAGAGUUUUUCGUCAUCAAUCACCGGACCGCAGCAUCAGAUUUCCCAGUCCCUAAGGGGAGUGCCAUAUUAAAUGAAGCGAAUGAAACAUAUACGAGCUAGUACUUAAAACUAAGUAGAGACAAUUUCCUCAAAGGCUUGAACAGGUCAUGAAUACAGAUUGGUUUCUUGAUAAUUUACACCGGUGAACACGUCAACAGAUGGAUUGCUUUUUCAAUCCAAUCAAAAACGCUUAACGUACGUUUACAUGAAUCACAAAAACAAUUCUACUCAAAACUAAACUUGGGAAAAAAAAUAAAAAAGAAAGGAGGAGGAUCAGAGAAAGGAAUACACAAGAAAUUAAGAUUGGGACGACCAUUCUCAGAUUUACCAGCUUUUUCUAUGAGCAUGA
rnacentral:lncRNA from 1 species